CGAUGAUGCCAGCAGCAAUGAGACUGCAAUUAUCACUUGUUUAGUUUCUGUGCUUGCCGUGGUUUAUUUCGCAUGGAAUGUGAAAAAAUCAAGGAAAGCAAAUGCUACACUGCCACCAGGACCUCGCGGCUUGCCUGUAUUCGGAUACCUCCCAUUUCUCGGAAAUACUGACUUACACAAGAAGUUCACGGAAUUAUCUGGAGUUUAUGGUCCGAUCUUCAAGCUUUGGCUUGGAAAUAAAUUGUGUGUAGUGGUGAGCUCACCUUCCCUAAUUAGACAAGUGGUUCGUGAUCAAGAUACAACAUUCGCGAACCGUGACCCACCGAUGGCUGCACUAGUGGUCUCCUAUGGUGGCAAUGAUAUUGUACGGUCCAAUUACGGUCCCGAAUGGAGAAAGUUGCGCAAAUUUUUUGUGGGCAAGAUGAUGAGUAACGCAAGCCUUGAUGCUUGUUAUGCUCUAAGAAAACAAGAGGUUAAAAAUACUAUCAGGGAUUUGUACAACAACGACAACAAAAUUGGUAAGCCCAUUGACAUUGGUGAAUUGUCGAUUUCAACCUUGGUAUGUGCUAUGCAGAACAUGCUGUGGGCCUGUGGGGUGAAGCGCUUGAAAUAAGAGAGGAAGGGAUCACUAAUCAUGGGGCUGAGCUAAAAUUUAAGCUGGCAGAACUCAUGGUGCUAGCGGGAACACCGAAUAUUUCAGACAUCUUUCCAAUGCUUUCAUGGCUCGACAUACAAGGUAUAGAGAGGAGAGCAAAGAAGAUUUCACUCUGGUUUGAACAUAUUAUAAAUUCUACUGUUGAAAAGCAUAGAAGCAAGGACUUUAUUGUUGAAGGCAAAGAAAGAGCAGGGAAAAAUUUGGAAGGAUCAAGGAACAAGAACUUCUUGCAGUUACUAUUGGAGCUUCAAGAAAAUGAAGACGGUUCUUCCUCAAUUAGCAUGAACCAAUUUAAGGCCGUACUCGUGGUAUGUUAAGCAACUAGCCGCAAACAGUUAAACAAGCACAGCUGUAUAUUUUGCAUGAGUGAUAUUUUCAACUUUUUUUUUAAUUAGAAUUUUAUUGUAACCUUUUGGACAGGAUAUAAUUACGGGUGGAACCGACACCACAACUACGAUGGUGGAAUGGACAAUGGCAGAGUUGAUACAGCAUCCACAAGUAAUGAAGAAAGUUCAGGAAGAAUUAGCUCAAGUUGUGGGCAUGGACAGUUGUGUUGAAGAAUUUCAUUUGCCUAAACUGAAAUAUUUAGAUGCUGUGGUGAAAGAAUCGUUUCGUCUACAUCCUGCAUUGCCUUUAUUAGUACCACGCAGAGCAAGCGAGAGUGGCAGCAUUGGUGGCUAUACCAUUCCCAAAGAUACAACUCUUAUGUUGAAUGUUUGGGCUAUCCACAGGGACCCUCAACUUUGGGAUAAUCCCUUAGAAUUUCGACCCGAGAGGUUUCUGAAUGUUGGUGUCGAGAGUAAGUUCGAUUACUCAGGUAACAAUUUUCAGUACUUACCAUUUGGUUCUGGUAGAAGGAUGUGUGCUGGGAUUCCUCUAGCUGAGAGGAUGCUGAUGUUUGUUUUGGCUUCGUUAUUGCACUCAUUUGAGUGGGAAUUGCCAGCUGGCACAAAGCUAAACUUAUCUGAAAAAUUUGGGAUUGUUAUUAAGAAAAAAGAGCCUUUGGUUGCUAUUCCAACACCAAGACUAUCCAAUUCAGAGCUUUACCAUUAAGACAGAAUGAUUGUGAUGAUUUUGUUAGUAUCGGAAGAUUUGUAUGUUAUUUCAAGUUCAAACGUAAUAAAAUAUUUUAAUAAAAGUCCUCCGUUGCUAUUUUUUUUUUUCAACGGCAUAAUCUGUCAUCAUGCUUGUGUUUGGAGCUACUUUGGAAUGAUUAUUUUUUAAUUACAAUUUAUAAAUAUUUACAUUUUAAAAUUUUUAUAAGAGUCUAAAUUUAUACAUGUUCAAUAAAAGAUUCCCUAAAAAUUUUACAAUUCAAAAUUCUAUUAAAGUAUAGAUGAAACUUUUAUACCUACUAAUUUUUUGGUCUAUUCUACGAGUUUAAAGAGAAUAUAUUUUUAGAGCUAGCAAAAAGAGGUACUUGAUUGUUUUCGCGUUAUGUCAAUUUUUUUAUUGUGUUAAAUUUAAUUUGACCCACAUAUGACCCAUUUAAUAAUUGUGUCAAAAUAUCAAAAUUUAAACUCGACACGGAAAAUAAAUGGAUGACCAUACACACCCAUUUAAGAAUUAGGUAACUAUGUCACUUAAUACGAUAUAACCCAAUAACUCGUUUAAUACAUAUUUAACUUAAUUUACAUUGUACAUUGUACAACCUUUUAUCAUAAAUUACACUAUUUUAUAUUUCUAAAUAAUAUUAUAUAUUGAUAUUAUAAAAAAAAAUCAAUAAUCUCAAAAUUUGUACACCUCCUAACUUUUGAAAAGAAAUAAUAAAACUAAUUAAUUAAUGUUUAUUUUAUUCAUUAAUAUAUCAUAAUCCUACAUGUAUUUUAUUUGUUAUUUUUUUUUAUUUAAAAAGAUAGGAGGGUGGAUGAAACUCAAAUAAAUUUUUAGCCUAUCCUGAUCUUUCAAGUUUCUUAUUUAGGUGGCCAGCUGAAAAAAAUUACUUGAAAGCUACUCCAUCAAUUUAACAAAUUUUAUUUACUUAAUUAAUGGAGGUGUAGAAAAUAAAAGUAUCUGCAAGUACAUUGCAAUAGUGAAAGCAAUGUACCGGUGUUGGAACAUAACUGAACCCUGGUUACCUAUCACAUAUUUUAAGUUUUAACUUUGGUAGUUCACGGAUCGGUUUCUACUUCCACGAACAAUUAAUGUAGGAAAUGAGUUUUCUUUAUUUUUUAAUGAGUAUUUAUAGACCCCGAUUAAAUAUUGGAAUCUAUCUAUCUAUAUAUAUAUAAAGUUAGGACUUGAGGAGGUGAUGUAGCAUCACCAUUUCUCAUCUUUGUAUAUUCUCUAUUAUCUAAUAAAUAGAGAAAUUUUCUUUUACAUUUAGUUUUUCAUCUUCUCAUAAUUAAUUUGAUUGUCAUUACACAAUAACAAUUAUGUAAAGAUUUUAAUGAGACAUAUUUUUUGUAAUGAACAAGGAGGAGUAUUAUGAAUUUAUUAAAAUAAAUGUAGAUGUUCAUAACAUAUAUCUCUUAGUCUCCUCACUAUCUCUCAUUAGCAACAUUUAGCUUCCCUAUAACUCCCACUAUCUCAUAAGGAAUUAUGAUCCAUAAUUUUUCAUUAAUUUCAUGGAGUGAUUAUGUAACUAUAAAAGAAGAGCUCAUCUUUUUGUUUUGUACACACACAAUUGGAAUGAAUAAAAUCACUCUAUAAUAUAUUCUCUCAUUUUAUUCUUUAUUUUGCGUUGCUUCUUUAUUUGUAUUGCUGGCUAAUAGUUUUUAUUUUUAUUUUUUAUAAGGUUGCCUCAUCUUAAAAAAAAAUCAAUUCAUAUUUUUUAUCAGUUUCAUCAAGUGUAAAGUAAGAAAAAAAUAUAAUACUAAUUUUUUUUUUCAAAUAAAUGUAGAUGUUCAUAACAUAUAUCUCUUAGUCUCCCAACUAUCUCUCAUUAGCAACAUUUAGCUUCCCUAUAACUCCCACUAUCUCAUAAGGAAUUUUGAUCCAUAAUUUUUCAUUAAUUUCAUGGAGUGAUUAUGUAACUAUAAAAUAAGAGCUCAUCUUUUUUGUUUUGUACACACAUAAUUGGAAUAAAUAAAAUCACUCUAUAAUAUAUUCUCUCAUUUUAUUCUUUAUUUGUAUUGCUGGCUAAUAGUUUUUAUUUUUAUUUUUUAUAAGGUUGCCUCAUCUUAAAAAAAAAUCAAUUCAUAUUUUUUAUCAGUUUCAUCAAGUGUAAAGUAAGAAAAAAAUAUAAUACUAAUUUUUUUUUUCAAAUAAAUGUAGAUGUUCAUAACAUAUAUCUCUUAGUCUCCCCACUAUCUCUCAUUAGCAACAUUUAGCUUCCCUAUAACUCCCACUAUCUCAUAAGGAAUUUUGAUCCAUAAUUUUUCAUUAAUUUCAUGGAGUGAUUAUGUAACUAUAAAAUAAGAGCUCAUCUUUUUUGUUUUGUACACACAUAAUUGGAAUAAAUAAAAUCACUCUAUAAUAUAUUCUCUUAUUUUAUUCUUUAUUUUGCGUUGCUUCUUUAUUUGUAUUGCUGGCUAAUAGUUUUUUUUUUUUUUUUUUAUAAGGUUGCCUCAUCUUAAAAAAAAAUCAAUUCAUAUUUUUUAUCAGUUUCAUCAAGUGUAAAGUAAGAAAAAAAUAUAAUACUAAAUUUUUUUUUCAAAGCCGCGUGAAGCGCGGUUCUAUUUUCUAGUAUAUAAUAAAAGAGAAACUGACAUAGAAAUGAGAAAGAUAUUUGGAGGAGGCAAAAAAAAAAAAAAAAAAUGCAACAGAGAAUUAGAUCAGCAACACAAGUAACUAAUUCAUCUAUACAUCAUAAUCCUAUUUGUAUCUUCUUCCUUCUUCUAAUUUACAUAUAAAUUUGGUUAGAUAAAACAUAUUUUAAUACUUGGUCACAAGUGGUGGAUAUAGAAAAGGGUAAUUUUCAGUUUCAUCACCUGAGGUUUGGGGUCCCUUCAGUUAGAUAGAUUCUAUGAGGGUAUCUCCACUUUGCACUCCUACCGUUCGUAUAAUGUUUAGUAUAAGUUUAGUUUACGAGAAUAAAUAAGUAAUUGCAUGAUAAAUUAUUAAAUAUUAAGAUAAUUUUGAAUUUUUACACUCUGCAAACUGGAACCUGUUGAAACAUUGUGGUGCUCGCUAGCCAAUAAUCAAAAAUCAAACGACACCCAUUUUGAAGAAACCCUAAGACAAAAUCAAACGACACCCAUUUCAAGCUUAUUAACUAGAGAGAUUUCGAAGAAACCCUAAGUCAAAAUCAAACGACACCCAUUUCUCAUUCCACUCUCCUCGAACUCGAAUCCCUCUUACAAUCGAUUGAUCCAGACACCCUUUACCGAUUCACCGAUCAACUCUCCUCCAAAAAAACUCUCUUUAUCCUCUCUCAUUCCUCCAAUUUCUUGCGCCAUGGAUGCGGGCCCCACCAAUAUCUCCCUCUUGGCCUCCAAAAUUUACCUUGCAUUGCUUCUCUCCCCGAACUCCCCUGUCUUCACUUUGUUCACUCCCAUGGCGUUCCUCUCCCUUCGCCGCUCCCUCAAGAGUUUUAAGCGCGUGUCUGAUAGCGGGUCCCACUCUAGUGUUAACCACAAAAGAAAAGGUGGUGGCAGGCGGGUUCAGCGGGCGAAUGAAUUUAACGAGGAUGAGAGCGAGGGUGGAUUUGAUGCUAGGAGUUUGUGUUUGGUUGUUGAGAAGUUGGAAUUUGUUGUGGGGUUGGUUUAUUUGAAUAGAUUUCUAGAUUGUUUGAAGUCUUUGAUACAGACUGUUGUUGAGAUUCUGGUCUCUUUGCUUGAAUUGGGAGGUUAUGAGAAAUUGAAUGUUUGUUUUCAGGGAUUUUGAUUAAGUUGUUGAGGGGGGAGCAUGGUGAUGUGAUGAGUACAACUGCAUAGGUUUUGAAGUCAUUAGUGCCAUUGAUUUUGAUGGGCAAAUGUCAAGCGAGGAGUUUUGCAUUAGGAUUUUUGAUGAAUGGAGUGAUGGGUGUGGCUAAAGAGAUCGACGGGGUCAAGAAGGCAGUUGUGAAUUUGCCGAAGUACUUGGUGAACAAGGCCCUGGAGAAGGCCGAGCUGAGGGGAUUAGCUGUGGAGGCAAUUAUGGAGAUUGUUAAAGCAAUGGAGGUUGAGGAUCAAAUGGGGUUUGUUGAAUAUACUGUUAAAGCUGACUAAAGGGAAGGCUAAUCUUAGCCUAGUUGCAGUUGAUCUGAUAUUAAUGCUAAUGACGUCGAUGAGAGAUCCAUUGAAUCUCUCGUUUACGACAUUCAGUUUAGUUAAUAAGCUUGAAAAAAAAAAAAAAGGGGCUCCAGUUGGUUAUUAAAAUAGUUUUAUUGAUGCAAGGGUGUUUUAGUCAUUUAAUCAGUCAAUUAACAGUCAAAUAAAUGUUAUCCUAACGGUAGGGGUGUAAAGUGGAGAUACACUCAUACAAUCUAUCAAAGUGAAAGGACCCCAAAUCUCAGGGGAGGAAACCGAAAAUUACCCAUAUAGAAAAUUAAUUUAGAGGGGGUAAUACCGUAACGAAAAAUAAUGAUUCAUAAUUAAAAUCAACCCCAACAUCAAAACUUAUUUACAAGAUCACCCCCAGUCAAAGGUAAUUUUUCCUAAAAACUAAUACGAAAUUAAAUAAAUUUAACUUUUAGUGGGUUCAAUUGCCCACGCAUUCUGAACGUAGAUCCACCCCUGGCCCCGACUGAAGCAUUUUUUACAAUAUGUACUCUGUUUAUCAGCAGGAACAACCUUCCACUUUAAAUUAAAAUUUUCACUUAAAAAUGAUUAAGGUUAAUGAGGUUAGUAACAAAAAUGAGUUUAAUUAGAGAAUAUUAUAAGAGAAAUUCUAUUUUUUGACUUUUAAUAAAUUAAAAUAUAUUAAAAUAUUAUUAAUUGGUGGUGGUUUCACAUCAAAUUAAGACAUGACACCUAAUUUAUGAGGUGGAGACAAUCGGCUUAAACUAUUUUAAUGCAUUUAAAAUUUGUACUAAUGACUAUCAUUCUUUGUCCUAAUUAAUACGAUAAUUAAUAACAUACAAUUGAAAUAAUUAAUAUUAGCACUUGGCAAUAAAUAAAGCUCUUGUGCUUGAAUCGGCGCACAUGAUCAUUUCAUUCCUUUAUUUACUUUGCUACCACAGAUUUUGAGGCAUUAAAACUAAAUAAUAAUUGAAUAUGGCUUUGUGCGUCGAUGACGCCAGCAACAAGGGGACCGCAAUUAUCACUUUUUAAGUUGCUACUAAAAUUGAUUUUAGUAGUGAUAUGAUUAUUGCAGUGUUUUUAUUUUUUAUAAUAAAAUUAAGUCGAUUUGUUAUAAUAAACUUAGUUGAGUUUAAUGGUAUUAUUACAGAAAUUAAAGUCAUUAAAUAUUUUAAUAUUUUUAUCGUAAGCAUUGACAUGGUAUUUAUUUAUUUAUUGUAUGAUGGAUUUUAAAAUUUAUAAAAUUAUUUGUUAUUAAAUUACCCCCAGAUGCUACAUCACCUGAAACUUAAUAAAGGGAACGUAGCAUUGCCAUUACUCAACAUUCACUCUUAUGACUUUAUGACAUUAGAAUUAAAAUCUUUCGUACAUUUAAUUUGUUUGCUUCCAAAUUAAUCUUUAAUAAAUAUUUUUUUCACAUUAUCAUCAAUGGAAAAAACUCCAACGAAAAUAACUACACAAGAACAAUCUAUGCUAGUAUUAUAUGCCACGAUAUCUAUAACUUUGUCAGGAUCGAUCAUUCUAAUUUUUACGCAGAACUUUUUGUCAAUCGACAAACACCUCACAGAGCUUGUCACUUGUCAGCCGCAUUAUUACGAUGUAAAAUUGUACCGGAAUAUCUUGAAUUAUUAGUAGAAUAACGAAGACUAUUUGGAGCAAUAAAAGAAUCCAGCUGUGGUGCCACAAUUAUAUGGUACCACAGCUGGAUCUAACCAUUAAAUUUAGCUCUGGUGACAAUUGUGGGUUAGAUCCAAUGGUUGGAUCCAUCUGUGGUACCAUACAACAGUGGUACCACAGAUUUGUCCGCAAUAAAAACAAAUAACGCAGAUGAAAACAAUGGCUAAAAUUAUGUAAGUGAGCCCCAAAGUUUUUGCUAUUUCCAGGAAAUCCCAAAUUUGAUUGGACUAGAGGGAGGCAGGUAAGAAAUACAUUUUCUUCCUAGACAAUGACAGCUAUGACAUCAAGCCACUGCUAUUAUUAAUUAUCCCCUGGUCAUUACAGUUUGUUAAUAUUCAUUCUGAAACAGUAAAACAAAAACGAAAUUGAAUACAUCAACGAGACCGCAAUUAUCACUUGUUUAGUUGCGGUAUUUAACUUAAUUUUAAUCUAAUAUAUUUGUUAGUUAAACUUUUAAUAAUCAAAUAAUUUUGAUUUAAAAAUAAAGUUAUAGAAAUUAAUAAUUAUUAAAAAUUCACAAUUAAGGGAACGUUCAUCAAACACACAUAGCUAUUGUUUUCUCUAUAUAUUGCAGUGUGUACGAUAUUGAGGGUUGAAGUCCCAAGCAUGCUCUAAAAUCCAGAUAAUAUUUAGAUCCAAGCAAACUAGAGUAGUGAUUUAAUGAAAAUCAUAUGUAUUGAAAAAAAAUGAAAAGAGGUCAUAAACUAGAACAAAAAUAUAAUCAUAUUCAAGUAAACUUAAUAGAUAAACCCUAAGUUCGUGCACGAGAGUUGAACUCUAUGAAUUUUACUCAAUAAUUUGAUGCAUACAAAAUAUAUACGAGUUUAUGAGUGACGUAUAAGUACUAAAAGAGUUAAGUAAUAAGUAAAUAAAAUAAACCAAGUGGCAUGACAUUGAUUCAAUAUUAUUGUAUCAAUAUUUAUGAAAGAAAUUGUAUUAAAAUUAAAUUGUAUGUUGAGUAUUGAUCUUGUCGUCUCAUUAUGUUUAGAUAUCUUAAUAUUAAAUCGAUAUAUGUUGUAUCGUUGGUUGAUUAAAUGUCAUAUCAUUUAAAGUAUAUCCUUAACUAACUGAAUUAAUAGCAUAAAUAAUUUAUUUCAAGAAGUCUUUGACCAGGUAAUGUAAAUGAGAUUUGCAGCUUUGAGAAGAAACAUAAUAUUUCAAACGUAGAAUAUUAAAACGUAACUAUCAUAUUAUCAUUCUUGUUUUUUAAAUCUGAAUAAUUGAGAAUGCAAUUUUAGAAGUCAACUUUAAUGAGAUCGCAUACCAAUUCCAAUAUUUAAUCAAAUCUUGACCGUCCCUCAAUCAAUCAACGGUGCGAAACAAUUAGUGAAUCCACAUAUGAGCCAUGAUUAGUUGGUGGUGAUGAAGGCUGUUAUUGGCGGAGCUCAAAGUUAUUAUGUGCAUGUUGGGUGGAUAUCUCUAUUGAAAAUAUCUCUGAUAUUUCACUCGACAAACUUGUUAAUAUAAAAAAUCUAUGGUUUUGCCGUCUGUAAACUGUAGAAAAAAUUGACUCUACGUUAAUCUAAAUGUUUGAGGUGAUUAGAAAUUACCGACUAUAAAGGGGAAUAAUUUAUAGGUUGAUUGAUACAUCUCUAUUGAAAAUAUCUCUGACAUUUCACUCGACAAACUCAUUAAUAUAAAAAAUCUAUGGUUUUGCCAUCUGUAUACUGUAGAAAAAUUUGUCUAUACAUUAAUCUAGAUGUUGGAGGUGGUUAAUAUUUUAUGUAUUUCAUUAUCAAAUGCUGGCCGUUGGGACCCUAUCUACAUCUAUUAAUAAGAUUAACAGGUGCCAGACUAGGCCAUUACAAAUUAUCCCCUCAUCAGAUAUUUCGUUAAAAUUCAUUCUGAAACACUAAAACUAAAUAAUUGAAUAUGGCUUUGCGGGUCGAUGAUGCCAGCAGCAAUGAGACUGCAAUUAUCACUUGUUUAGUUUCUGUGCUUGCCGUGGUUUACUUCGCAUGGAAUGUGAAAAAAUCAAGGAAAGCAAAUGCUAAACUUCCACCAGGACCUCGCGGCUUGCCUGUAGUCGGAUACCUCCCAUUUCUCGGAACUACUGACUUGCACAAGAAAUUCACGGAAUUAUCCGGAGUUUAUGGUCCGAUCUUCAAGCUCUGGCUCGGAAACAAAUUAUGUGUCGUGGCGAGCUCACCUUCCCUAGUUAAACAAGUGGUUCGAGAUCAAGAUACAACAUUCGCCAACCGUGACCCGCCGAUCGCUGUACUAGCGUUCACCUAUGGUGGCAAUGAUAUUGCAUGGUCCAAUUACGGUCCCGAAUGGAGAAAUUUGCGCAAAGCUUUUGUGGGCAAGAUGAUGAGUAACGCAAGCCUUGAUGCUUGUUAUGCUCUAAGAAAACAAGAGGUUAAAAAUACUAUCAGGGAUUUGUACAACAACGACAACAAAAUUGGUAAGCCCAUCGACAUUGGUGAAUUGUCAAUUUCAACCUUGGUAUGUGUUAUUCAGAACAUGCUGUGGGGUGAAGCGCUUGAAACAAGAGAGGAAGGGAUCACUAAUCUUGGGGCUGAGCUAAAAUUUAAGCUGGCAGAACUCAUGGUCCUAAUGGGAACACCGAAUAUUUCGGACGUCUUUCCAGUGCUUUCAUGGUUUGAUAUACAAGGUAUAGAGAGGAAAGCAAAGAAGAUUUCACUCUGGUUUGAAAAUAUUAUAAAUUCUACUGUUGAAAAGUAUAGAAGCAAGGACUUUAUUGUUGAAGGUAAAGAAAGAGCAGGGGAAAAUUUUGAAGGAUCAAGGAACAAGAACUUCUUGCAGUUACUAUUGGAGCUUCAAGAAAAUGAAGACGGUUCUUCCUCAAUUAGCAUGAACCAAUUUAAGGGCGUGCUCGCGGUAUGUUAAGCAACUAGCCACGAACAGUUAUACAAGCACAGUUGUAUAUUUGCAUGAGUGACGCUUCUCAACUUUUUUUAAUUUUUUAAAUUAAAGUUUUAUUGUAAUCUUUUGAACAGGAUAUAAUUACGGGUGGAACCGACACCACAACUACGAUGGUGGAAUGGACAAUGGCAGAGUUGAUGCAGCAUCCACAAGUAAUGAAGAAAGUUCAGGAAGAAUUAGCUCAAGUUGUGGGCAUGGACAGUUGUGUUGAAGAAUUUCAUUUGCCUAAACUGAAAUAUUUAGAUGCUGUGGUGAAAGAAUCGUUUCGUCUGCAUCCUGCAGUGCCUUUAUUAGUACCACGCAGAGCAAGCGAGAGUGGCAGCAUUGGUGGCUAUACCAUUCCCAAAGAUACAACUCUUAUGUUGAAUGUUUGGGCUAUCCACAGGGACCCUCAACUUUGGGAUAAUCCCUUAGAAUUUCGACCCGAGAGGUUUCUGAAUGUUGGUGUCGAGAGUAAGUUCGAUUACUCAGGUAACAAUUUUCAGUACUUACCUUUUGGUUCUGGUAGAAGAAUGUGUGCUGGGAUUCCUCUAGCUGAGAGGAUGCUGAUGUUUGUUUUGGCUUCGUUAUUGCACUCAUUUGAGUGGGAAUUGCCAGCUGGCACAAAGCUAAAUUUAUCUGAAAAAUUUGGGUUUGUCAUUAAGAAAAAAGAGCCUUUGGUUGCUAUUCCAACACCAAGACUAUCCAAUUCAGAGCUUUACCAUUAAAACAGAAUGAUUGUGAUGAUUUUGUUAGUAUCGGAAGAUUUGUAUGUUAUUUCAAGUUCAAUCGUAAUAAAAUAUUUUAAUAAAAGUCCUCCGUUGCUAAUUUUUUUUUUCAACGGCAUAAUCUGUCAUCAUGCUUGUGUUUGGAGCUACUUUGGAAUGAUUAUUUUUGAAUUACAAUUUAUAAAUAUUUAGGUUUUAAAUUUUUUAUAAGAGUCUAAAUUUAUACACGUUCAGUAAAAGAUUCCCUAAAAGCUUUACAAUUCAAAAUUCUAUUAAAAGUAUAGAUGAAACUUUUAUACCUACUAAUUUUUUGGUCUAUUCUACAAGUUUAAAGAGGAGAUAUUUCUAGAGCUAGCAAAAAGAGCUACCUGAUUGUUUUCGCGUUAUGUCAAUUUUUUUAUUGUGUUAAAUUUAAUUUGACCCACAUAUGACCCAUUUAAUAAUCGUGUCAAAAUAUUGAAACUUGAACUUGAUACGGAAAAUAAAUGGAUGACCACACACACCCAUUUAAGAAUUAGGUAACUAUGUCACUUAAUACGACAUAACCCAAUAACUCGUUUAAUACAUAUUUAACAUAAUUUACAUUGUACAUUGUACACCCUUUUGUCAUAAAUUACACUAUUUUAUAUUUCUAAAUAAUAUUAUAUAUUGAUAUUAUAAAAAAAUAUCAAUAAUCUCAAAAUUUGUACACCUCCUAACUUUUAAAAAGAAAUAAAAAAACUAAUUAAUUAAUGUUUAUUUUAUUCAUUAAUAUAUCAUAAUCCUACAUGUAUUUUAUUUGUUAUUUUUUUUAUUUAAAAAGAUAGGAGGGUGGAUGAAACUCAAAUAAAUUUUUAGCCUAUCCUGAUCUUUCAAGUUUCUUAUUUAGGAGGCCAGUUAAAAAAAAUUACUUAGAAAGCUACUCCAUCAAUUUAACAAAUUUUAUUUAUUUAAUUAAUGGAGGUGUAGAAAAUAAAAGUAUCUGCAAGCACAUUGCAAUAGUGAAAGCAAUGUACCGGUGUUGCAACAUAACUGAAUCUUGAUAACCUAUCACAUAUUUUAAGUUUUAAUAUUGGUAGUUCACGGAUCGGUUUCUACUUCCACGAACAAUUAUUGAAGGAAAUGAGUUUUUUUUUUAAUGAAUAUUUAUAGACCCCGAUUAAAUAUUCGAAUAUAUAAUAAAAGAGAAACUGACAUAGAAAUGAGAAAGAUAUUUGGAGGAGGCCAAAAAAAAAAAAAAAAAUGCAACAGAGAAUUAGAUCAGCAACACAAGUAACUAAUUAAUUCAUCUAUACAUCAUAAUCCUAUUUGUAUCUUCUUCCUUCUACUAAUUUACAUAUAAAUUUGGUUAGAUAAAACAUAUUUUAAUACUCGGUCACAAGCGGUGGAUAUAGAAAAUUAAUUUAGAGGGGGUAAUACCAUAACGAAAAAUAAUGAUUCAUAACUAAAAUCAACCCCAACAUCAAAACUUAUUUACAAGAUUACGCCCAGUCAAAGGUAAUUUUUCCUAAAAACUAAUACGAAAUUAAAUAAAUUUAACUUUUAGUGGGUUCAAGUGCCCACGCAUUCUGAACGUAGAUCCACCCCUGGCCCCGACUGAAGCAUUUUUUACAAUAUGUACUCAGUUUAUCAACAGGAACAACCUUCCACUUUAAAUUAAAAUUUUCACUUAAAAAUGAUUAAUGUUAAUGAGGUUAGCAACAAAAAUGAGUUUAAUUAGAGAAUAUUAUAAGAGAAAUUAUAUUUUUUGACUUUUAAUAAAUUAAAAUAUUAUUAGUUGGUGGUGGUUUCACGUCAGAUUAAGACGUGACACUUUACUUAUGAGGUCGAGACAAUCGACUUAAACUAUUUCAAUGCAUUUGAAAUUUGCACUAAUGGCUAUCAUUCUUUGUCCAAAUUAAUACGAUAAUUAAUAACAUACAAUUGAAAUAAUUAAUACUAGCACUUGGCAAUAAAUAAAGCUCUUGUGCUUGAAUCGUCACACAUGAUCACUUCAUUCCUUUAUUUACUUUGCUACCACAAAUUUUGAGGCAUUAUAACUAAAUAAUAAUUGAAUAGGGCUUUGUGUUACUUGUUGUGCGCGCGGAAUGCGGAAUCAAGCACACCAAAUUAUUACAGAAAAAUAAAGGACACAAUUAUUUGACGUGGUUCGGUAAUUAAACUUACAUCCACGGAGGCAAGAAAGAAUAAUUGUUUAUUUAACAAUUAAUAGAGUACAAAUAUUUGAGUAACGAAUCUCACUUCUCAGAAACCUAAAUAUACCCAAUACUCUCACACUCUGCAGGAAAGAUAAAUUAUCCAAACACACUUCUCUCACUUCUCUAAAAAACUUAAAAAUUUAAAAACUUAACAAUUUUGGAAUGCUUUAGAAUAGAAGAAGUGCCAUCUUAUAGGAAAAAUAAUGAUACUAUUGCACCAACCUCUUUACUAUUCCACCUAACAUAAGCAAAUUGUCAAUAGUGUCCAUUUAACUUUUUAUUUUUUUUCUUCAAUUGUUUAGUAGCCCUUUAAAAAUCUGCGUGGUUUCUUGAAAUUUAGAUGCCACAUGCAUGACUUUUCAACACUAAUUACUACGAUAAUUAAUAUUAGCACUUGGCAAUAAAUAAAGCUCUUGUGCUUGAAUCGUCACACACGAUCACUUCAUUCCUUUAUUUGCUUUGCUACCACAGAUUUUGAGGCAUUAAAACUAAAUAAUAAUUGAAUAUGGCUUUGUGCGUCGAUGACGCCAGCAACAAGGGGACCACAAUUAUCACUUUUUAAGUUGCUUUUAAAAUUGAUUUUAAUAGUGAUUUGAUUAUUGUAGUGUUUUUAUUUUUAUAUUAAAAUUAAGUCGAUUUGUUAUAAUAAACUUAGUUGAGUUUAAUGGUAUUACUACAUAAAUUGAAUAGUCAUCAAAUAUUUUAAUGUUUUUAUGGCAAGUGUUGACGUGGCAUUUAUUUGUUGUAUGAUGGAUUUUAAAAUUUAUAAAAUUAUUUGUUAUUAAAUUACCCCCAGAUGCUGCAUCACCUGAAACUUAAUAAAGGGCAUGUAGCAUUGCCAUUACUCAACAUUCACUCUUAUGACUUUAUGACAUUAGAAUUAAAAUCUUUCGUACAUUUAAUUUGUUUGCUUCCAGAUUAAUCUUUAAAAAUAUUUUUUUCACAUUAUCAUGAAUGGACAAAACUCCAACGAAAAUAACUACGCAAGAGCAAUCUAUGCUAGUAUUAUAUGCCACGAUAUCUAUAACUUUGUCAGGUCUCAGGAUCGAUCAUUCUAAUUUUUACGCAGAACUUUUAAUCAAUGGACAAACACCUCACCGAGCUUGUCGGCAGCAUUACUACGAUGUAAAAUUGUACCGGAAUAUCUUGAAGUAUUAGUAGAAUAAUGAAGACUAUUUGGAGCAAUAAAAACAAAUAACGCAGAUAAAAAAAAUGGCUAAAAUUAUGUAAGUGAGCCCCAAAGUUUUUGCUAUUUCCAGGAAAUCCCAAAUUUGAAUGGACUAGAGGGAGGCACGUAAGAAAUACAUUUUCUUCCUAGACAAUGACAGCUAUGACAUCAAGCCACGUAUUGAAAUUAAGGUGUAAUUAUUCAGCCAAUGAGCCUUACACACCAAGAUGUAUAAAAGUCAAGAAAAUGAAAUUUUAUCCCAAUUAAAACACUUUCUGGCUGCAAUUGGCUGUUUCCAUUUGAAGUUAAAAAACAACAACGUUUCUUUCGUUUUGUGGGCGAUUCGAUUGAGCACGCGCCACGAGCUAGCUGGCUUCCAGUGCUUGCGUGUGACAAUAGAAGGCUAGUGAUUUCACUUUCGCUUUUUUUUUUUUUUCUUUUUUUUGGGGAAUCAAGAUAAAAGCCAAGAAAAUGAAAAUUGGGCUGUUUCCAUUUGAAGUUAAAAACAGUGUUUCUUUCGGGGCGUCAAUUUGAUAUUUGAAUGGACAGGCAAGUAAGAAAUACAAUUCCUUCAUAGACAAUGACAACGAGGACAUCAAGGCACAUCAUUAUAGUUUGUAGCCCAUCUACAUUUAAACGAUUAAUAAACAAGCUUAGGUGUGCCACUGCUAUUAUUAAUUAUCCCCUGAUCAUUAUAGUUUCUGAAACAGUAAAACAAAACGAAAUUGAAUACAUCAACGAGAUCGCAAUUAUCACUUGUUUAGUUGCGGUAUUUAACUUAAUUUUAAUCUAAUAUAUUUGUUAGUUAAACUUUUAAUAAUCAAAUAAUUUUGACUUAAAAAUAAAAUUAUAGAAAUUAUUAAUUAUUAAAAAUUCACACAUAGCUAUUGUUUUCUCUAUAUAUUGCAGUGUGUACGAUAUUGAGGGUUGAAGCCCAAAGCAUGCCCUAAAAUCCAGAUAAUAAUUAGAUCCGGGCCAAAUAUUCAUCAUUGUGUCGGCUGAUCAGUCGGUGGACAUCUCUAUUGAAAAAAUCUCUGACAUUUCUCUCGACAAACUUAUUACUAAAAAAAAAUCAGUGGUUUUGCCGUCUGAAUAAUGUAGAAAAAUUUGUCUGUGCAUUAAUCUAGAUGUUUGAGGUGAUUUAUACAUCUGUGAUAAAGAUUUAUAGGUUGACUUAUACGUCUGUGGUAUAGAUUUUAUGUAUUUCAUUACAAAAUGCUGGCCGUUAGAACCCUUUCUACAUCUAUUUAUAAGAUUAACGGGUGCCAGUUAUGCCAUUACAAAUUAUCCCCUCAUCAGAUAUUUCGUUAAAAUUCAUUCUGAAACACUAAAACUAAAUAAUCGAACAUGGCUUUGCGGGUCGAUGAUGCCAGAAGCAAUUCGACUGCAAUUAUCACUUGUUUAGUUUCUGUGCUUGCCGUGGUUUACUUGGCAUGGAAUGUGAAAAAAUCAAGGAAAGCAAAUGCUAAACUGCCACCAGGACCUCCCGGCUUGCCUGUAGUCGGAUACCUCCCAUUUCUCGGAACUACUGACUUGCACAAGAAAUUCACGGAAUUAUCCGGAGUUUACGGUCCGAUCUUCAAGCUCUGGCUCGGAAAUAAAUUAUGUGUAGUGGUGAGCUCACCUUCCCUAAUUAGACAAGUGGUUCGUGAUCAAGAUACAACAUUCGCGAACCGUGACCCACCGAAGGCUGCACUAGUGGUCUCCUAUGGUGGCAAUGAUAUUGCAUGGUCCAAUUACGGUCCCGAAUGGAGAAAGUUGCGCAAAUUUUUUGUGGGCAAGAUGAUGAGUAACGCAAGCCUUGAUGCUUGUUAUGCUCUAAGAAAACAAGAGGUUAAAAAUACUAUCAGGGAUUUGUAUAACAACGACAACAAAAUUGGCAAGCCCAUUGACAUUGGUGAAUUGUCGUUUUCAACAUUGGUAUGUGCUAUACAGAACAUGCUGUGGGGUGAAGCGCUUGAAAUAAGAGAGAAAGGGACCACUAAUCUUGGGGCUGGGCUAAAAUUUAAGCUGGCAGAACUCAUGGUGCUUGCGGGAACACCGAAUAUUUCGGAUGUCUUUCCAAUGCUUUCAUGGCUUGACAUACAAGGUAUAGAGAGGAGAGCAAAGAAGAUUUCACUCUGGCUUGAAAAUGUUAUAAAUUCUACUGUUGAACAGCAUAGAAACAAGGAGUCAACUGUUGAAGGUGAAGAAAGAGCGGGGAAAAAUUUUGAAGGAUCAAGGAACAAGAACUUCUUGCAGUUACUAUUGGAGCUUCAAGAAAAUGAUGACAGUGCUUCCUCAAUUAGCAUGAACCAAUUCAAGGCCGUACUCAUGGUAUGUUAAGUAACUAGCAACGAACAGUUAUACAAGCACAGUUGUAUAUUUGCAUGAGUGAUAUUUUCAACCUUUUUUUUUAAUUAGAAUUUUAUUGUCACCUUUUGGACAGGAUAUAAUUACGGCUGGAACCGACACCACAGCUACGAUGGUGGAAUGGACAAUGGCAGAGUUGAUGCAGCAUCCACAAGUAAUGAAGAACGUUCAGGAAGAAUUAGCUCAAGUUGUGGGCAUGGACAGUUGUGUUGAAGAAUUUCACCUGUCUAGAUUAAAGUAUUUAGAUGCUGUGGUGAAGGAAACAUUUCGUCUGCAUCCUGCAGUGCCUUUAUUAGUACCACGCAGAGCAAGCGAGAGUGGCAGCAUUGGUGGCUAUACCAUUCCCAAAGAUACAACUCUUAUGUUGAAUGUUUGGGCUAUCCACAGGGACCCUCACCUUUGGGAUAAUCCCUUAGAAUUUCGACCCGAGAGGUUUCUGAAUGUUGGUGUCGAGAGUAAGUUCGAUUACUCAGGUAACAAUUUUCAGUACUUGCCAUUUGGUUCUGGUAGAAGAAUGUGUGCUGGGAUUCCUCUAGCUGAGAGGAUGCUGAUGUUUGUUUUGGCUUCGUUAUUGCACUCAUUUGAGUGGGAAUUGCCAGCUGGCACAAAGCUAAACUUAUCUGAAAAAUUUGGGAUUGUCAUUAAGAAAAAAGAGCCUUUGGUUGCUAUUCCAACACCAAGACUAUCCAAUUCAGAGCUCUACCAUUAAGACAAAAUGGUUGUGAUGAUUUUGUUAAUUUUCCGAAGAUUUGUAUGUUAUUUAGUUCAAUCGUAAUAAAAUAUUUCAAAUAAGAGUCCUCCGUUGCUUUUUUUUUUUUUUUUUUUUCAACGGCAUAAUCUGUCGUCAUGCUUGUAUUUGGAGCUACUUUGGAAUAAUUAUGUUUGAAUUACAAUUUAUAAAUAUUUACGUUUUAAAUUUUUUAUAAGAGUCUAAAUUUAUACACGUUUAAUAUCCCGCUUCAUAGAUAUUUAACACAAUUUAUAUCAUACAUUGUAUACCCAUUUGUCAUAAAUUAUACUAUUUUGUAUCUCUAAAUAAUAUUACGUAUUGAUAUUAUAAUAUAUAUAUAUAUGUUUAUCAAAAGACUAUACCAUUCAAUAUAUAUUGAAAAGAGAACAAAGAAGAUUUUCUUAUGGUUUAAAAAUAUUAUGAAUUCUGCUGUUGAACAGUAUGGAAACAAGGUCUCUGUUGUUAAAGGUGAAGAAGCAACAGGGAACAAUAUUGAAGGAAGAAAUUUCACAUGUUUAGUUGCUGAAUUUGCCGCUGUAUUCUAUCGGUAGUAGAGUUUUUAUUUUUCUCUAUUAAUUUAAGUCAAUUUUCUAUAACAAAUUCGGUUGAGUUUAAUUGUGUUAUAAUAUAAAUUGAAUGAUAAUAGAAUUUUCAACAAAUAUUUCAAUAUUUCUAUCUCGAUUGUUGAAGUGCCAUUUAUUUGUUAUGCGAUCGAUUUUAAAAUUUAUAAAAUUAUUUGUUACUAAAUUGCAUCAUAUGCUAAAAUCACCUGAAACCUAAUUCCAUAACUAACCCUUUAUUUUUAGUUCUCAAGAAAUCUUGUAAGAACAAAAAUCUUUUAUAACAAAACUUUUACAACACAUUAAUUUGUAACUCAUUCCUGUGCGCGAAUCACUCUCAAUUUCCUUCAAUUGCUGUUUAACAAUCAUCUACUUAUCAAAAUUCAAGCAUAAUCUUUUUUUUUUAAUUUCUUCAUCAUUCUUUAAAAAAAAAAUCAGGAUAUGCUGUUAAAUUUUGAAAUAAAUAAAUUAACCAAAGUUGGUUGAUGUGAGUGGUUCAAUGAUGAGCAUAAUUUAUAUACAUAUUUUACCUUUAAUUAUAUAAUUAUUAGUUAUUUUUAUUAGUUAUUUUUAAUUAAUUGAAUUAUUUUAUUGCAUAGAGAAUUAAUUGGAGAUUGGGAAACAAAAAGUGCAUAAAGAAUAACAAGUUUGGGAAAGCAUCAAUCAAAGCCGUGACGCAAUUAAGAGUUUAUAGCAUAUGAAGCCAAGAGUAAUUUGCACUCAAAAAGAAUUUCAAUUAUUCAAGUGACCUGGACCUGCAUGGCAUUGUAAUGCAUGGAAAGCAACUUAAAGGGGCCCACACUUGGCUUUUACAAUUGGAAAAAGGAAUCCUAGUGCAAGCUUAAUUGAUGAGCACGUGAGUGAGAGCAAAGAAAAUUAAAAGGCCAAGCCUUUUGGCUUAAGGAAAUAACAAGGUCGGUGGGGCCCAUUUUAAAGAGUAAUAUAAAAGCAAGCUUUUGGCUUUUGGAGAGAGGAGCCGCGAGAGGAGGAAAACGCAAGACAAAGAGAAGAAAAUCUGCAGCAGUUCGGCUUCUAUGGUUGGUUUUAUCUCUUUUGUUACUCUUAAUUCAAAUAUGUCUAGUUAAUUUUCUUAUAUUAAAGUUAAGGAUGAAACCCUAUUCAAUGAAAUAAUUAUCUUUUUAUUUAUUUAAUUCCCAUAUAUGUUCUUUAAUGAUUAUGAUUUUUAUUUCACAUGAUUAAUUGGAUGUUAUUAAAAUUUUUUCAUCAAUUCUGUCAUGCAUUAUUGAUUGUUAGGAUUAAUAUUCAAUUAAAUCUAUACUUAGAUUUAUAACGUUUAUACAUGAUUAUCUUUGAUUCUAUGUCUUUCAUUAAAUUGUUUACAUGGAGUGCUUAGGAAAACUUUGACUCUUUGUUAUUCAAUAUGUUCACAUGGGAUACUUAGAUGUCAUACUAUUAAGCGGAAAAAGAACCUAUAUUAGAUUUAAUUAUUUGGGCUUAAUUGUUAUAUCCAUGAGAUGACACAAAUUGAUUUCGAGUUGUCACUCUAAAAUUAGAGAUUAAUGAAUAUUUAGAUAAUUACUAGUUGAAUAGCGGUGGAUUCUGAAACCUUGGUAAUUUCUAUCUUAUUGAAUUCUCCUUUACUUUAAUUGUUUUCUUAGUUUAAUUAAUUUAAUUUCUUUUAAAACUCAAUUUGCUUAACUAGGUUAGAAUUAAUAUUAAUUUUAGAUUUAAAUUAGACUUUUCAAUUUAUAACAAUCCAUGUGGGAUCGACCUCGUUACCACUACUUUAUUUCUAGAUUCGUGCACUUGCGAGUAUAUUAAAAUUUUCACAACAAGUUUUUGGCGCCGUUGCCGGGGAUUGUGCCAGAAAGUCAGUUUAAUCUAGGUUGAUUUGAUUCUUCCACUAGUUAUAAUUUAUGUUGUCUUUUAUUUUAUUAUUAUUUUUAAUUAACAAAAACACACAAAAAAACUUUUAUUUUUCUUUAAAUUCAUUGUUUGGUUGUUUGAUUUCUUUUAUUUUUUAAAUUUUGUUUAUUCUCAUUAUUGUUGGUUUAUUUUAUUUUAUUUUUUUCUUUCCUUGUCUAGUUAGUUUAUGAGUGUUUGGGAAUGUGAUUCAACAAAUCGUUUGGUAAAAGAGAGUCAAAAAUUGAUAGUAGUCAAGUUAGUUCUUCUGAAGUCAUGGAUGACCCAAAUAGAUUAUUGCCAAUACUUCCACCAGUGCAAGCAGAGAAAACCCUUAGAGAAUAUUUUUCACCACUUGCAGCCAACCAACCAUCUUGUAUUGUGUUGCCACAAACUACAGCAACACACUUUGAACUUUUUGAACUUAAGCCCUCAGUCAUCCAACUUUUACCAUCUUUCCAUGGGUUAGAGAGAGAGGAUCCAUAUUUGCACAUUAAGGAAUUUCUUGACAUAUGCUCUACAUUCCGUUUUCAAAAUUUUAAUGAUGAGUUAAUCAGGCUUCGUAUGUUAUCUUUCUCAUUAAAAGACAAAGCAAAAGCUUGGUUGAAUUCGCUUUCUGCUGGGUCUAUAACUACGUGGGAUGAAUUGAAUAAUAAGUUCCUCACCAAGUUUUUCCCUAUGUCUAAAACAAAUGCCCUUAGGAGAGAGAUAAGUGAUUUCUAUUAAAGAGAGGGUGAGCAAUUUUAUGAGUGUUGGGAAAGAUUCAAUGAUUUACUCCUCAAGUGCCCCCACCAUGGUUUUGAGAAAUGGAGACUUAUACAAUGCUUUUAUAACGGUUUAACCAUGUCGAAUCGUCAUAUGGUAGAGUCUAUGAAUGGUGGGAGAUUUUUGAACCUACAUGAAGGGGCUGCAUGGGAUUUCUUUAAUUCACUUUCUGAGAAUUCUCAACAGUGAGAUUUUUCAAGCCAAAGGGAAAAAUCAUCUCAAGUUUCUAGAAAGGGGUUAUAUGAAGUUAAGGAUGAUUUUGAUGUGAAAUCCACUCUAAUUACACUUUCUAGAAAAGUAGAUGCCUUAGCUCUGAACCAAUCAAUGAAUCAUCAUCCUAGUGUAGCUAAUGAGGUUUGUGCUAUUUGUUCUAACUUGUCUCAAACAGCACAAAACUGUCCAUCAUUACCAGUCUAUCCAGAGGCUUAUUCUGAGCAGGUACAUGCCUUACAAUCAUAUGAGAAAACCUCCAAUAAUACAUAUUCACUCACAUAUAAUCCUAAUUGGAGGAAUCACCCUAAUUUUUCUUGGAAACAAAAUCAAUCUUUGUCAAACCAAGGAGGACAACAAUUUAACAUGCCCAAUCAACAAUUUGUCCCUCCUAACCAAGUAUAUCCUCCUGCCCAACAACCUAUAUCUCAAUUUGUUACACCCCAACAAAGAAAACCUUCUUUAGAGGAUACACUUCAAAGUUUCAUUCAGUCAACCUAAUAAGCUUUUCAGUCAAACACUCAAGCUAUUCUAAAGCUUGAACAUCAAUUGGGUCAAUUAGCAACUACUGUAGCGGAGAAAGAAAAAAGAAAAUUCCCCAGUCAAUCAAUUCCUAAUCCUAAAGGAGUGCAUGAAGUUGGAUCGAGUUCAAGCCAUCAGCAUGAAGAAGCAAAAUCAAUUAUGACCUUGAGAAGAGGAAAAUUGUUUGACAACAAAGUGGAGGUUCAAACAAAGAAGACAUCUGAGCCUACUUCUUCAGAUCCAAUUACAUCACAAGAAUCAUCACCAAAUGAUCUUGAAGAGAGUGACCCGCUAGCUUACAUUCCCAAGGCUCAUUUUCCUCAAAGGUUAACAAAGGUAAAGAAAGGGACUUCAACAUGUGAGAUUAUAGAAAUCUUCAAGCAGGUAAGUAUAAACAUCCAUUUACUCGAUGCUAUUAAGCAAGUUCCUUCCUAUGCCAAGUUUUUGAAAGAUUUAUGCACUAAAAAGAGAAAUUUGCAUGUCACUAAAAAGGCGUUUUUAACUGAACAAACUAGCAAUUUACUUCAAUGUAAAAUGCCACCAAAAUUUAAGGAUCCUGGUUCUCCUACUAUUUCAUGUGUUAUAGGGAACCAAUGUUUUGAUAAAGCAUUAUUGGAUUUAGGUGCUAGUGUUAAUCUCUUACCUUAUUCCAUUUACAUGCAGCUUGGACUAGGUGAGUUAAAAUCAACUCCUAUUAUUUUGCAACUUGCUGAUAGGUCAAUGAAAAUACCUCGUGGUAUUAUAGAGGAUGUGUUGAUACAGAUUGACAAAUUUUAUUAUCCUGUUGAUUUUAUUGUUAUUGAUACUCAACAUGUACAUGAUCUUAAGAAACACACUCCACUUAUUCUUGGUCGUCCUUUCUUAGCUACAGCUGAUGCUCAUAUUAGUUGCAGGACUUGAAACAUGCAAUUGUCUUUUGGUAACAUGACCAUGGAAUUAAAUAUUUUUAAUGUUCCCAAGCAGGCACAAGAAGAUGAUGAAGUCGUUGAAGUAGAUAUGAUAGAAGCAUCAAUUGAUGACUCACUUAUUUCUAACCAUUGUGACAAUCCAUUAAUACCUUGCACAACUGACUCUGAUUUCUCUAUUGAUGUUGAUAGUGAUAUUGAAGAAGUUAAUGCUUUACUUGAUUCGACUCUUAUCAUAGAUCUAAUUAAGUGGAAAGAAAAGAUAAGAUUGAGCCACUUCCUCCUGAAGAGAAAAGUGCAACAUAGGUCACAUUCUGACAUAAAAAAGGUGGUAAGAUCUAAAACGCUUAAAUUAUUAGAUUUUUAUACUACUUUAGAUAACUCUCAGGAAAGCUUAGAACAGAAGAGAUCAAAGCAAUGCGAUAUUGAGGAGUUUCAUUACCAUCAUCCUUUUAUGGAUAAAAUGCUCCAGUGCUUAAUCAAUUAUGCUUUUUGGUAUUUUCUAUAUAAUUGCUUUAAUUUUCACCAAAUUCUUAUUGAUCCUGGUUGAUUUGUUGUUUACAUUAAUUAGUUAGUUAGUCGGAUUUUUUUAUUAUUAUUUAUAUUUCUUCUAACGUUUUCUUUUGAGUUGUCAUUCUUUUAAGUUUUCCUAGCUCAGUCAGGUGUGUUCUCUCCAACUUUCUCUUUUAUUAUUUAUGUUUUUAUUUUUCAUCUUUUUGCGUGCAUAUCUUUUAUUUAUGACACAUUGAGGACAAUGUUCCGAAUAAGUUUGGGGGUGGGAAUAAUGUUGCUUUGUUUGUUAAAAAAAACUAAAAAAAAAUUUCAAAAAUUCAAAAAAAAAUUGUGUUUUUUUUGUUUUUACGUGAAAAGCCAAUGAUAAAAACUUGAUUGACAAUGAAUAUGGUUUUUAGAAAGGGUUUAAUAUUGUCUUAAUUUAUACUUGAUUCUUAUGUUAGUUCCUCUUGAUUGAGAUUCUUUAAAAUAUAAGCACUAAUAUCAAUUCUUUCAUAAUUUUGACUUGAAAUUUGAGAUUGACGCAGCCUGAGUUGAGAAUUUUAGAUAGAGUAAAUGACUGUUUGUCUUUAUUCUUAUCUCCACAAUACAAAAUAGUAUACACAGGCACCAAAGUCAGAAAUAACUACCUAUAAUCCUUAAGAGUGAAGCUAUCCUUGAGUAAUUUAGGCCUAUGUACCACAAGUAUGUAGAGGAUAAUCUACCAUGAGAAGAAUGCUACCUUAAGGGGUAGAGUGAAAGCUCCUGACUAUGGUUAAAAAAAAAAGAAGAAGAAAAAGAGAAAGAAAAAAUCAAAUCAAGUGCAUGUGCUGAAAAAAAAAUCAAAAGAAAAUGCACAUAAAAGCCUGUGAAAAAAAAAUUGGAGAUUAAGAUGAUAAGAUUAGCUUGACCUACUCUUUUCUUUUUUUGAGGCGAAGGUUGUUGAUAUUGAAGAUUUUAGGAAUGAAUUUGAUUGAAUUGAUUUCACACACACACAACAAGAAUCGAAAGAGAGAUGGGAUUGAUUAUUGAAUUAAAGUUAGAACUUUGCCAAUAUUUGAAAUUUUGUUUGAGCUAUAUAAUUUAUGCAAUCUUUGAGGGUAUUUUCAUAUUUUAUUUAAAGUUUUUUUUUCUUUUUAUUUUAUUUUAUUUAUUUUUUAUUUUUUUAAAAUGAUGUUUGUGGGUGUCAUCACUGAAGCUCUCACGAGACUAUAACUCGUCCACUAGGGGUUUAAAGGCUUGUUGCAUACGCUAAAUGCAAUCGCGAUUACCUGCGAAAAUGGUUUAGUUAGGAUUUACUUUUUGUUUUGUUAUUUUUUUUUUUUUUUUUAGUUUUAGCUUUGCUCGAGGACUAGCAAAAUCUAAGUUUGGGGGUAUUUGAUGAGCAUAAUUUAUAUACAUAUUUUACCUUUAAUUAUAUAAUUAUUAGUUAUCUUUAUUAGUUAUUUUUAAUUAAUUGAAUUAUUUUAUUGCAUAGGGAAUUAAUUGGAGAUUGGGAAACAAAAAGUGCAUAAAGAAUAACAAGUUUGGGAAAGCAUCAAUCAAAGCCAUGACACAAUUAAGAGUUUAUAGCAUAUGAAGGCAAGAGUAAUUUGCACUAAAAAAGAAUUUCAAUUAUUCAAGUGAUCUGGACGUGCAUAGUAUUGUAAUGCAUGGAAAGCAACUUAAAGGGGCCCACACUUGGCUUUUACAAUUGGAAAAAGGAAUCCUAGUGCAAGCUUAAUUGGUGAGCACGUGAGUGAGAGCAAAGAAAAUUAAAAGGCCAAGCCUUUUGGCUUAAGGAAAUAACAAGGUCGGUGGGGCCCAUUUUAAAGAGUAAUAUAAAAGCAAGCUUUUGGCUUUUGGAGAGAGAAGCCGCCAGAGGAGGAAAACGCGAGACAAAGAGAAGAAAAUAUGCCGCAGUUCGACUUCUAUGGUUGGUUUUAUCUCUUUUGUUACUCUUAAUUCAAGUAUGUCUAGCUAAUUUUCUUAUAUUGAAGUUAAGGAUGAAAUCAUAUUCAAUGAAAUAAUUAUCUUUUUAUUUAUUUAAUUCCCAUAUAUGUUCUUUAAUGAUUAUGAUUUUUAUUUCACAUGAUUAAUUGGAUGUUAUUAAAAUCUUUUCAUCAAUUCUGUCAUAUAUUAUUGAUUGUUAUGAUUAAUAUUAAAUUAAAUCUAUACUUGGAUUUAUAAAGUUUAUACAUGAUUAUCUUUGAUUCUAUGUCUUUCAUUAAAUUGUUUACAUGGAGUGCCUAGGAAAACUUUGACUCUUUGUUAUUCAAUAUGUUCACAUGGGAUACUUAGAUGUCGUACUAUUAAGCGGAAAAAGAACCUAUAUUAGAUUUAAUUAUUUGGGCUUAAUUGUUAUAUCCAUGAGAUGACAUAGAUUGAUUUCGAGUUGUCACUCUAAAAUUGGGGAUUAAUGAAUAUUUAGAUAAUUACUAGUUGAAUAGUGGUGGAUUCUGAAACCUUGGUAAUUUCUAUCUUAUUGAAUUCUCCUUUACUUUAAUUGUUUUCUUAGUUUAAUUAGUUUAAUUUCUCUUAAAACUCAAUUCGCUCAACUAGGUUAGAAUUAAUAUUAAUUUUAGAUUUAAAUUAGACUUUUCAAUUUAUAACAAUCCCUGUGGGAUCGACCUCGUUACCACUACUCUAUUUCUAGAUUCGUGCGCUUGCGAGUAUAUUAAAAUUUUCACAACAUUCGGCACUCUCACUCCUUAAGAGAGGUCAGGGGUUCAAGCCUCGCUCUCGUAUGGAGUCACCACUUUGACCAGCACUUUACCCCUUACAGACCGACCCGGUGCGAGCAUGAAUUAGUCUGGGUUGUGGUACGGGCUUAAAGGUGCCUCCCACAAUUGAGACCCACUCAGGACCACCUCGUGGUUCGGACAAAAAAAAAAUUGAAAUAAAUUAUCUCAAAAUAAUUACUAACCAGAAAAAACAAAGGGGUUUAACUAGGUUAUGCAUACCUUUGAAAAUUAUAUGUUGAUCGAUAAGCAUGAUGAUCACGAUUGAGGAGUUUAAUUAAAAUUUAUAAGAUUUUAAAAUUAAUCAGGGUUAAAUUCUAAAUUUUAGAAAGAGAGGUUUUGUGAGAAUGCUGAAAGGGUGUUAAUAGUUCCACUCUUUUUUAAAAAAACCAUAGUCAUCAUUUUUCCCGAUUUCUUCUUCCCAUCUCCAUCUUAUUUAGAAAUUUCCCAGAGCCUUUGUUUCCCACCAUUCAUUUUUCUUCUUUCUAAUUUAAGAUUAUAGUAUUAUAAAAAUAAUUACUCACAUUUUAUCAAACACCUCCAUUAUACCAAGGCCUUGUUUUAGUAGUAGGCUUUUAUUAUCUCAAUAAAAUUGAAAAAACAAAGCUCAAUAAUAUUGGAAAAAAAACCUACCCAUAUUUGUAACUUUAAUUUAUUAUUCUCCAUAGACCUACUUUUUAGCUUUGAAUUUUGUUGGAGCCAUAUAUAAACAGAAUAUGUUGAAAUCAGCACAAAAAAAAAACUAAUUAUAUAAUUUUUGUUCCCAAGGACACGACUGUGUGAUUUUUAAGAAGUUUUGUUUGGCUGGCCACUUAGGUUUAAAUCUUGGUGGAGAUUAGGGGUUAAGAAAUAAAUUUGGACUUUGCACACCCCUUUAACUUUUAAAAAGAAUGAAAAAAACUAAUUAAUUAAUCUUUAUUUUAUUUAUUAAAUGUCAUAAUCAUAUGCAUAUUUUAUUUGUUAUCUUUCUAUUUAAAAGAUAGGAGGGCAAAUAAAACUGAAAUAAAUGUUUAUCCCUAUCUCCAUCUUUCAAGUUCCAUAGUUAGGUGACCAGCUAAAGAAAAUUAAUUGAAAGUUACUCCAUCAAAUUAAAAAAAAUUAUUUAUUUAAUUUGUGGAGAUGUAGAAAAUCAAACCCCAUACCUUUUCGCAUGCAAAAGUGUCAACCUGGUCUAGCUAUGUUGCAACAGUAAACAUAUUUUAAUACAUGACUAUCAUCUUUUAUCCUAAAUACUACUAUAACUAUGGGUUCAGUUAUGCUGUAACUGUGGUAUGGUACCACAGUUGUUUUCAACCAUUAAAUUCAACUUAUAUAACUAUGCAACUGUAGAUCUAACGGCUGAAAGCAACUAUGGUACCAUACCACAGUUGCAACAUAGUUUUGCCCCUAUAACUCAUAACAUUCAAUUGAAAUAAUAAAUGUUAACACUUGGCUAUAAAUAAAGGUUUUGUACUUGAAUCUUCAUGCAUGACCUUCAUUCCUUUAUUGACUUUGCUAACACAGAUUUUGAGGCAUUAAAACUAAAUAAUAAUUGACUUUGUGGGCCGAGGAUGCCAGCAACAAGGAGACCACAAUUAUCACUAGUUAAGUUACUCUAAUUGCCGUUGUCUUAUAUUCAUAAAAUAUUAGUAAUAAGAUUAUUGUAGAAUUUUUUUAUAUUAAAAUUAAGUCAAUUUGUUAUAACAAAUUUAGUUGAGUUUAAUCGUGUUACUACAUACAUUGAAUAAUAAUAGAAUUCUCGACAAAUAUUUCAAUAUUUUUAUCCCAAGCGUUGGAGUGGCAUUUAUUUGUUAGACAAUCGAUUUUAGAACUUAUAAAAUUAUUCGUUACUGAAUUGCACCAUAUGCUGCAUGACCUGAAACUUAAUAAACGGAACGUAGCGUUGGCAACAUUCACUGUCAUGACUUUGUGACAUUAGAAUUAAAUUUUUUUGCACAUUUAAUUUGUUUACUUCCAAAUUAAUAUUUAACAAAAUAUUUUUUCACAUUAUCAAUGGACAAAACUCCAACGAAAAUAACUAUACAAUAUAUGCUAGUAUUGUAUGCCAUAUCAUCUGUAAUUUUGUCAGGAUCGAUCAUUUUAAUUUUUAAGCAAAACUUUUUAUCAAUGGACAAACACCUCACACAGCUUGUCAGAGGCAUUAUUAUGAUGGAAAACUGAUAAACAGUGAACUCGAAACUCAAUUACUACAAGUCGUUUAGAGGAUUCAGUCUUGGAUGACUUGUCACUUGUGGAAUUCUUGAAGCCAGAACCGACAUAAUCUCAGUCGUCAUUCUGUCUUAAGUAAUACACAUGGUUUGCAUGUGUGUUGAAGCUGACUCUUUGCUUGGAUCAAGAAACGACGUCUUUGAGUGCCGUUUCUUAAACACACUUUAAAUCAGCUUGUGUCAAGCACGUGAGGUAGAGCUUUUUGAAUAGAUUUGGCGGGAAUGGUAGUUAGUGUAACAACCCAGAAAUAGAGGUUAAAAGGUGAAGGCUUUGUCAUCAUCUACACAUGAUUUGGGAAACAUUGAGAGUAGAGAAAAAGAUAGAGAGAGAAAGGGGUUAACAAGUUCUUGUUCUCUGUAAAUCGAUUUAUAUUCUUGUAAAGUUUGUGAUCUCAAUUAGUGAAAGACUGUUGCUUUGUUUCCAGUGGAUGUAGGCACCACUUCUUGGUGCUGAACCACUUAUACUUGGUGUCAUAUUGUUUCUUUAAUGCUUUGAUUCUUGCGUGUGAUUGUUGCUGGAUAAUCUGUGCUGUUAAUUCUCAAACCAUUGAUACAGAAUUAAUGUCUUGGGGAGAAUUUGGUUAGUCUUAUCAAAGCCGAAUUCACAACAAAUUGGUAUCAGAGCCCUCUUUUCUGUAUCAAGGUUCAAGAAAUGACUAACAAGGUGGAUCUUGAGAAGUUCAAUGGUCAGAAUGAUUUCAAUAUGUGGAGGAUCAAGAUGGAAGCAUUGUUAAUCACACAAGGUCUGGGAGAUGCCAUUGAUCCAGUCAUUAAGAGUGAAAAUGCAGAAGCCUAUUCUUCAAGAACUCCAGAACAGAUGGCUAAGAUUGAAAAAAAGGCAAGAAGCACCAUCAUCCUCAGUCUUGGUGACUUAGUGAUAAGGGAAGUUGCCAAGAAAAAGACUGUUGCUAGGCUCUGGGCAAAACUGGAACAAUUGUAUAUGACAAAGUCCUUAGCAAACAGGCUAUACAUCAAGAAAAAGAUGUUCUCACUGAGGAUGAUUGAAGGAGCAUCACUUGAUGAACACAUAGAUGAGUUUAAUAAAGUUUGUGAUGAACUGGAAACAAUUGAUGAAGGACUGAGUGAUGAGAGCAAGGCUUUGCUGUUAAUCAGUUCUUCACCAAAAUCAUAUGAACAUUUUGUGGAUGCCUUGUUAUAUGGAAGGCAAUCACUCUCCUUGGAAGAGGUUAAAUCUACUCUUGGUACCAAGAAGUUAAAAGAAAAACAAGAUAACUCAGAGAGUGAAUCAAGUGAAGGGCUGAUGGCAAGGGGCAGAUCUGAAAAAAAGGAGUACAAAGGAAAAAAACAAGGGAGAUCAAAGUCAAAGCAGAAACAUUUGAAGUGUUUUCACUGCCACAAAGAAGGGCAUUUCAAGAGGGAUUGCCCUGAGAGAAAAACAAAGCAAAAGGAAUCAAAAGACAAAUCUGGAAAUACAGCAAUAGCCACAGAAGAAACCAGUUUUGAGAUAGCUGAAGUCCUCAUUGCCACAAAAGAAAAAAACUCAAGGUCAGUGGGUACUAGACUCUGGAUGUACUUUUCAUAUGAGUCCAAAUAGAAAUUACUUUACUACAUAUCAGUCCUGUGAUGGGGGUAUGGUGCUGAUGGGAAAUAAUUCAGUUUGUAAAGCAGUUGGGAUUGGGACUGUAAGCCUUAAGAUGUAUGAUGGCAUGGUUAGAGAACUAACUCAGUUUAGGCAUGUUCCUGAGCUUAAAAGGAACCUAAUAUCUAUUGGCAUGCUUGAUCAAACUGGAUGUGUCAAUAAGGCUGAAAAUGGGUCAUUGAAAGUUAUCAGAGGCUCAAUAGUCAUAAUGAAAAGUUCCAAGCAAAAUGGUUUGUAUGUGUUGAAUGGACAUACAACUGUUGGAGAGGCAAGUGUCACUGAGAAGAGUGAAGACAAAGCAAGACUAUGGCACUUGAGGUUGGGGCAUAUGAGUGAAAGGGGAUUGAAGGAGCUUCAAAAGAAUGGGGUGUUUGGAAGUGACAAGCUAAGUUCUUUGGGGUUCUGUGAAGACUGUAUCCUAGGGAAGGCUUCCAAUCUCAAGUUUGAAUCUGCAGUUCAUUCUACCAAAGAGAAGCUUGCAUAUAUACACUCUGAUAUGUGGGGGCCUGCACAGGUAAAUUCUCUUGGUGGCUUUAAGUAUUUCUUAUCCUUAAUAGAUGACUAUUCAAGGAUGGUUUGGGUGUAUGUACUCAAAACCAAAGAUGAAGCUUUGGAAAAGUUUUAGAGGUGGAAAAUUCUGGUAGAAACACAGACAAGUUUGAAAGUAAAAGCUCUAAGAACAGAUAAUGAAUUGGAAUUCUGCAACAAAGAGUUUGGAGACUUUUGUAAAAGACAUGAGAUUAUGAGGCACAAAACAGUCAUACACACACCUCAGCAAAAUGGUUUUGCUGAGAGAAUGAACAGAACCUUAAUGGACAAGGUGAGGUGUAUACUGCUAUACUCAAAGCUGCCUAAGUCACUCUGGGCAGAGGCCUUAAACACAGCAUGUUACUUGGUAAAUAUAAGUCCAUCUACAGCAAUAGAAUGCAAAACACCUAUCGAGCUAUGGUCUGGAAGGGUUGCAGAUUACUUUAAACUGAGAAUCUUUGGAUGUGUUGCUUAUGCAUAUGUCAAACAAGGCAAAUUGGAGCCAAGAGCUUUAAGGUGUAGAUUUCUAGGAUACCCUGAUGGAGUUAAAGGCUAUAGGCUAUGGUGCAUUGAUUUGAAGCCACCAAAAUGCAUUAUCAGCAGGGAUGUAACUUUCAAUGAGUCAGAAAUCUUGAACAAAUCCAAAACCACUUAAUCCAAAGAUCAUAUAUCAGAAACAAGACCUGGGAGUGUUCAGUUUGAGGUGGAGUCCUAUGAACAAGAUAGGACUGAAUCAGAAACUGAAGGAGAUUCAGGAAGGGUUACUGAUGGAUUUGAUGUUGUUCAGGAGUCAGAGCCAGCUGAGAAUGAAGAUAAUUCUUAUCAGUUGGUCAGGGAUAGAAAGAAGAGAGCUGUAAGACCACCUAAGAGGUAUACAAUAGCAGAUUUCAUAGCUUAUACAUUAACAGUUGCACAAGAGGUAAAUGAGGAAGAGCUAAGAACCUAUAAAGAAGCUAUAAACAGCAUGGAUAAGAUGAAAUGGAAGGAGGCUAUGGAUGAGGAAAUUGAAUCACUAAUGAAAAAUGGAACUUGGAAGCUGAUAGUUAGACUAGAAAAAAGGAAGACUGUUAGCUGCAAAUGGAUCUUCAAAGUUAAGGAAGGUAUAUCUGAUGCUGAACCUAGUAGGUUUAAAGCUAGGCUGGUAGCAAGAGGCUUCACACAAAGAGAGGGGAUUGAUUUCCAUGAAAUCUUCUCUCUAGUUGUGAAACAUGCCUCCAUCAGAGUCAUCUUAGCUUUAGUUGCCAUUCAAGACAUGUACCUGGAGCAUAUGGAUGUUAAAACAGCCUUCCUGCAUGGUGAAUUACAAGAAGAAAUUGUAAUGGAACAGCCUGGGGGGUAUGUGGUGUCUAGUAAGGAAAAUCAUGUGUGCUUACUAAAGAAAUAUUUAUAUGGAUUAAAGCAGUCUCCUAGGCAAUGGUACUUGAAGUUUGAUAGUUUUAUGACAAAACAUGCCUACAAGAAAUGCAAUUAUGAUUGUUGCGUGUACUUUAGGGACAUUGGUGAUGGAAAGAUGAUUUAUCUUAUGCUGUAUAUGGAUGACAUGCUUAUAGCAUGUCACAGCAUAGAUGAAAUCAGUCAUUUAAAGAAUCUCUUGAGCAGUGAAUUCGAUAUGAAAGAUCUUGGAGCUGUAAGGAAGAUCUUAGGUAUGGAAAUUAUCAGAGACAGGAGAAGGAAGCUUAUGUUUUUAACCCAACAGAGCUAUGUUAAGAAGGUGUUGCUUAGAUUUGGGAUGCAUGAAUCCAAGUCUGUUCAAACACCUUUGGCAAAUCACUUCAAGCUGUCUGCUGCACAUUGUCCACAAACUGAUGCAGAGCAAGGAAAAAUGGCAAGGAUACCUUACUCCAGUGCAGUUGGGAGCCUCAUGUAUGCCAUGGUUCUCACUAGACAUGAUAUCUCACAUGCUGUGAGUAUAGUGAGUAGAUUCAUGGCAAAUCCAGGUUAUGAGCAUUGGAGGGCAGUCCAGUGGAUAAUGAGGUACCUGAAAGGCACUAUGGAGUUUGGUCUGCUAUAUGGAGGGUUAAAACAGGAAGGGCACAAGCUGGUGGGGUAUGUUGACUCAGACUUCGCUGGAGAUCUUGAUAAAAGGAGGUCUCAGACAUGUUUUAUAUUCACUUUGGGAGGCUGCACUGUGAACUGGAAAGCUACUCUGCAAAGUGUGGUAGCUUUGUCCACAACUGAAGCCGAAUAUACAGCAGCUGCAGAAGCUUUUAAGGAAGUCAUCUGGUUAAAAGGAAUGGUCUCAGAGUUAGGAGCAAAACAAGAAACAGUUGAAGUAUACUGUGAUAGCCAGAGUGCAAUACAUUUGAGUAAAAACCAGACCCAUCAUGAAGGAACAAAACAUAUUGAUGUAAAGCUUCAUUUUGUAAGACUUGAAGUUUCAAAGGGAACUGUGAAGAUGCUCGAGGUUCACACUGAUCAAAAUCCAACCGAUAUGUUGACUAAAGCUGUGCCUUCUGCCAAGCUCAACUUCUGUUUGAGCUUAGCAGGAAUUUGCAGUUUCUGAUCAGCUGCAAAAGAAAGGGAAUAAAGUAUACAGGAGUAGCUAGAGUUCAGAGUUCACACUGAUUAAAAGGUGCAGGCUUUGUCAUCGUCUACACAUGAUUUGGGAAACACAGAGAGUAGAGAAAAAGAUAGAGAGAGAAAGGGGUUAACAAGUUCUUGUUCUCUGUAAAUCGAUUUCUAUUCUUGUAAAGUUUGUGAUCUCAAUUAGUGAAAGAUUGUUGCUUUGUUUCCAGUGGAUGUAGGCACCACUUCUUGGUGCUGAACCACUUAUGCUUGGUGUCAUAUUGUUUCUUUAAUGCUUUGAUUCUUGCGUGUGAUUGUUGCUGGAUAAUCUGUGCUGUUAAUUCUCAAACCAUUGAUACAGAAUUAAUGUCUUGGGGAGAAUUUGGUUAGUCUUAUCAAAGCCGAAUUCACAACAAAAACUGUAAUGGUAUAUCUUGAAUUAUUGGUAGAAUAGUUCUUUGGAGCAAUAAAAACAGAUAAGACAGAUGAGAAAAUUGUCAAUACCCCACCGCAAAAGCAAAAGAAAACAAGGAAAGGAGACAAAAGAGGAAGAAGAAAAAGAAAAAAGAACGAAGAAAAAAAUGGUGCCGUGCGGUAUAGGCAAGAAGAAAAAAUAAUAAAAAAUAAUAAAAUAAUAGUGCACAACAAUCAUUUGAUUGCUAUAAAUAAAAGGCGUUUCCCUCAUUUUAUUCAUCGAAUUCUUCAGUUCCUUUCAAGCGAUUUAAGAGUCUAGUGAUUUGAGAGUUUGGGUGUAGUAUGAUUUUGGGUAGUGAGCUAAAAUACUACAAUACUUGUAACUCAUUUUUAUUAGUAAAAUAUUUUCCUUCUGACUUCGCCCGUGGACGUAUGCUAAAAGCCGAAUCACGUAAUUUCUGGUGUCCCUAUGUGAUUAUGUGUCUCAUUAUUUCUUAAUUUCACUUUAGUUGCGUGUCUGCGACACCCCUCAAUUUAUUAACAAAAAAUGGCCAAAAUUAUAUAAGUGACCCAAAUUUUUUUGUUAUUUCCAAGAAAUCCCCAAUCUGAAUGGGCUAGACCAGAGGGAGGCAAGUUAGAAAUACAUUUCCUUCAUAGACAAUAACAGUGAUGAGUCGAUGACAUCAAGCCACGUCGGUAUCAAUAUUGAAUUAAAGGUGCAAUUAUUCAGCCAAUGAACCUUACACAUCAAGAUAAAAGUCAAGAAAAUGAAAAUUUAUCCCAAUUAAAACACUUUCUGGCUGCAUUUAGUUGUUUCCAUUAGAAGUUAAAAACAACGUUUCUUUCGUUUUGUGGGCAACUCAACUGAGUUAGCUGGCUUCUAGUGCUAGUAUGUGAAAAUAGAAGGCUAAUGAUUUAUUUAUUAUCUUUUGACAAAAUUAUUAAAGAUAUAAUAGAUUUUCUAUGAUACAAGUGAAAAAUCACAUCAACAUAGCUUUCAAUCUACAGCAGCUAGCGUUUACCAAACACUUUGUUGUAGCUUUUAAGCUAUAGCUGCCCAACCUCAAUCUCAAACGCACCCUUAAUAGGUUGAUUGAAUUUGUGAGAUAUGGAUUCCACAUAUCUCAUGACCUAGUAAUUAUACAAGUGGUUCGUGAUCAAGACACAACAUUUGCUUCCGGCCUAGUGACCCAGCAAUCGCUGCACUGGUCGCCACCUAUGGUGCCGACGAUAUUGCAUGGUCCAAUUGUGGCCUUGAAUGGAAAAAGUUGAGCAAAUUAUUUGUGGACACGAUGAUAAGUAACGCAAGCCUUGAUGCUAGUUAUGGUCAAAGAAAACAAGAGGUUAAGAAUACUAUCAGAGAUAUUCAUAACAACAAAAAGGAAAAAAAAAAGGCAUUUGCAAGCCCAUUGAUAUUGGUGAAUUGUCGAUUUCAACUUUGGCAUGUGUAAUCCAGAACCUGCGCGCUGUGGUAUGGCGCUGGCACGCUUGCAUUAACGAGGGGACAAGUCUUGGGGCUGAGCUAACAUUUAAGCUCGCAGAACUCAUGGUGCUAAUGGGAACACCAAAUAUUUUUUUGACAUAUUUUGGUGCUUUCAUGGUUUAAUUCAAGGUAUAGAAAGGAGUGUUGAGAAUGUCAAAUAAAACGGCAUUGAAUGGAAGUUGUCAAAGACACGAUCCGCACCGAACGGCAACGACACGGUUGCUAAAAAUCCUUCCAUAAUAUGCAUAUCUAAUUUUUUAAAAAGUGUAACCUCUGCAUUUAUAAAUAUACUCAAUGUAUAAUGUUUUACUUAAGAAAUGAAAAACUUGUUUGUUCAAGGAGAAUAAAGAAAAUUUUUCUAUGAUUUUUUUAUGGUUUGAACAAAGAAGGUUUUAAUGAGUAUUAUAGACCUCGAUUGAAUGUUCGAAUGUAUAAUAAAAGAGAAACUGUCACAUAAAUGACAAAGAUACUUGGAAAAAAAAAAAGGGCAGCAAUAGAGAAUUAGAUUCGACUGCACAAAUAACUAGUUAAUUCAUCAAUACAUCAUUUUCUUGCUAGAAAAUGACAAUUAUGACAGCAAGCCACGAUAGUGUCAAUAUUGAAAUUGAUUUGCAAUUAUUCAGCCAAUGUGCCUUACACGUCAAGAUAAAAGUCAAGAAAAUGAAAGUUAAUAUCAAUUAAAACACUUCCUGGGCCGCAUUUAGCUCCAGUUUUUGUGGUAGGAAAACAAAGUUUUGUUUUAAAUUCACAUGGUGUGCACUUCCUAUAUAAAUCUAGAGUUGUGUCCCACGUUGAACAAUAAAGGAAAGUCACCUAAAUAUACAUGUAGGAUAAGUUACUUUAUUUAGUAAGUUUGUAUUUUCUUCUUUCUUCUAGUUUACAUAUAAAUUUGAUUAGAUAACUUAACACAUAUUUUAAUACUUGAUCAGAAGCCCUACGUACAGGUGGAUCUAGAAACUUGAUUUCUAAGAGUAAUACUAUAAUAAAAAAAUAAUGAUUCAUAGAACCAAUAUCAAAAUUUGUUUACAAGAUUACCCCCACUCAAAGGUAAUUUUCAUAGAAAUUAAUAGGAAAUUUAAUUGUUAGUGGGGUCAAAUUGCCCCCACACUCUGAAUGUAGAUCCACGCCCGACCCUGAGUCAAGUAUAUUUUGCCACAUAUACUCUGAAUGUCGGCAGGAAAAAUCUUCCACUUUAGUUUAAAAUUUUCACUUAAAAUUUAUUUACGUUAAUAAAGUUGGUAAAGGAAAUGAGUUUAAUUAAAGAAUAUUAUAGGAGAAAUUCUAUUGUUUGGCUUUUAAUAAAUUAAUUAAUAGGUUUAAAAAGAUUAAUAUACAUCAAAAUAUUAUUAGUUGGUGGUGGUUCCACAUCGGACUAAGACGUGGCACCUUACUUGUGAGAUUAAGACAAUCAGGCUUAGACUAUUUAAAUAUGUUUGAAGCUUAGAUGGCACCGCUUCAAUUUGCAUUAAUGAAUGUCAUUCUUUACCCUAAUUACUACGUAAUUGAUAACAUGCAAUUGAAAUAACUAAUAUUAGCACUUGGCUAUAAAUGAACUAAAGGCCGUGCAAUUGAAUCUUUACUUGAUCACUUCAUUCCUUUAUUUUGCUAACACAGAUUUUGAGAUAUUAAAACGAAAUAAUAAUUGAAUCUGGCUUUGUGGGUCGAUGAUGCCAGCAACAACGAGACCACAAUUAUCACUUGUUUAUUUGCUGUAUUUGACGUUGUUUCAUAUUGGUAGUAAUAACUAAUAAGGUCGUUGUAGAGUUUUUAAUCUUUUUUUUUAUAUUAAUCACGAGGUAUCCUGGGGAGGGCCCCAACUGUGGGAGGCACCUUUAAGCUCGUACCACAACCCAGACUAGAAGUCCCCGCUCGAACCGGGAGGCACAGUUUUUAAUCUUUUUUAUAUUAAAGUUAAGUCAAUUUGUUAUAAAUAAAUAAAAAAUUGGUUGAGUUUAAUUAUAUUGCUAUGUACAUUAAAUAAUUAUAAUAUUCUCGAGGGAAAAAGACACCUAGAACCUCAAGGUUUGGGGAAAUGGUCACAAAAACUCCUAAGUUUUAAAAAAGGAACACUAAAAUCUUUUUUUACCCAUAAUACCCUUUGACUAUAGUAAUUAGAAAAUUGACUUUAAAGGUUUUUAAAUAAUACAAAUUUAAUAUAAAUCAUAUAAUCUAUCUAGUACACUAAUAAUAUUAAAUUAUUUUUUAUAUUUAAAAUAAUGUUAAAAAAUUUAAAUUAUUAUAUUUAUUUUAAUAAUAUAUUUAUAAAAUUAUAAAGAUUUUAAAUAAAUCUUUGGAUUGAAUAUAUUUUACAAUUAAAAGUCUUCCUAUUAAUAAUAUUAAAAUUAAAUUUUAAGUAAUAUAUAUUCAAAAUAUUUUUAAUUUAAUUUUAUUUAUUUUAAUAUUAUGUUUCUAUCUAUUAUUAAAAAUUACUUUAAUAUAAUAAAAUAGGUCUAAUAGAUUGAAAAAUAUGAAAAUAUUUUUAAAAUUUUAAAUUAUUUUGAAAUGUAUAUAUUAUUACAUUUAUUUCAAUGUCAUAUUUCCAUUUAUUAUAAAAUUUUGGGGUUAUUUUUUUGGGAAUUUAUAGAGUCAAAGAGCAUUAUGGUUAAAAAAGAGUCUUGGUGUCCCUUAUUGAAAACUUUAGAGUUUUUGUGACCAUUUUCCUAAAUCUUGGGGGUGUUGAAGUGGCACUUAUUGUAAGAUUGAUUUUAAAAUAUGUAAAAUUAAUUUUAUUACAUUACCAUAUGCUACAUCACCUGAAACUUAAUAAAUGGAACGUAGCAUUACUCCACGUUCACCGUUAUGACCUUAUGACAUUAGAAUUAAAAUCUUUCGUACGUUUAAAUUGUUUACUUCCAAAUUAAUCUUUCGUAAAUAUUUUGUACAGAUCUUAUCGGAGUUAGCGUGUUCAUUACAGUGUUUCUUUUCUUUUAUCCUUUCUUUUGAAACGUAUUUCCUGUGGACAAGGAAAGCAAAUAAUACCCUGCCACCAGGACCUCGCGGCUUGCCUGUAAUCGGAUACCUUCCAUUUCUCGGAAUUACUGACUUACACAAGACAUUCACGGAAUUAGCUGGUCUAUAUGGCCCGAUCUUCAAACUCUGGCUUGGCAACAAAUUGUGUGUAGUGGUUAGCUCGCCUUCAACUAGUUCUAUAAGAAUAUCCCUUUUAAGGGAUUCUCUCUCUGCAAAAUUUUUUUAUCUUCUGGUGCAUAAUAAAAACUUAUGCCACUUCAUUAACCACAGAUAUCUUUUGAGGAAACGAUGUUUCGUUUUCUUUUGUUUUUUCCUUCCUAAUCCUCGCAUAUCGUGUGAAGGCUAAUAUAUCCAAGAAUCUAAAUCUCUGUAAAUCUUUUUCUAUCCAAAUCUACAUAAUAAUUUAAUCCAUGCACAAUAUCUAUAAUUAUAUCGGCUGUCGGCUGAUUUCGUGGAGGGGGCGGCAGUUCAAAUUUUUUACGUGCAUGUUGGAUGGACGUCUCUAUUAAAGGAGAGCCACCACUUGCAUGGUAAUUUUUUUAAAUAAAUAUAUACAUUUCAAAAUAUUAUUUCAUUGUUGUAUAGUUAACAUGUCACCUUAGAUGUAUUUUAGAACUUCUCCUAUUAAAGAUAAUCUCAUGCAGUGAUACUUCUCGUGAUCUAAUCAUUAGUAGAAUCUAUAAUUUCGCUACUGUAAUAAAAUCUGUCCCUACCCUAUAUGAAUGUAGAUAUUUGACGCGAUUUGUAAUUGCUUCCGACAGGAAAACAGCAAUAGUUUAAUUGAAAUUUGUGGUAUGGAUUCCACGAAUCUUAUGACAGAAUACUGACCACUCCAACCCUAUCCACAUUUACACGAUUAAAACACAAGCUUAGAUGUGACAAUGCAUUUGUCACUUUUGUUCAAAUUCAUCCUGAAACACUAUACACUAAAUAAUCGAAUAUGGCUUCGUGGGUCGAUGAUGCUAGCAGCAACGAGACUGCAAUUAUCACUUGUUUUGUUGCUGUACUUGUCGUGGUCUAUUUCGCAUGGAAUGUAAACAAAUCAAGUAAAGCAAAUGCUAAAUUGCCACCAGGAUCUCGGGGCUUGCCAGUAGUCGGAUACCUCCCAUUUCUUGGAACUACUGACUUACACAAGACAUUCACGGAGUUAGCUGGAGUUUAUGGUCCGAUCUUCAAGAUUUGGCUUGGGAAUAAAUUGUGUGUAGUGGUGAGCUCGCCUACCCUAGUUAAACAAGUGGUCCGUGAUCAAGAUAUAACAUUCUCAAACCGCGACCCACCGAUCGCUGGAACUGUGACCACCUACGGUGGCAAUGAUAUUGCACUUUCCAAUUAUGGUCCCGAAUGGAAAAAGUUGCGAAAAUUAUUUGUGAGCAAGAUGAUGAGUAAUGCAACCCUUGAUGCUUGUUAUGCUCUAAGAAAACAAGAGGUUAAAAAUACUAUCAGGGAUUUGUACAACAACAAUAAGGAUAAUAUUGGCAGUGGCAAUGGCAAGCCCAUUGACGUUGGUGAAUUGUCGAUUUCAACUUUGGUACGUGUUAUGCAGAACAUGCUGUGGGGUCAAGCAUUGGAAACAAGAGAGAAAGAGAUUACUAAUCUCGGGGCUAAUCUUGCAGAACUCAUGGUGCUACUGGGAACACCAAAUAUUUCGGAUAUUUUUCCAGUGCUUUCAUUGCUUGACAUGCAAGGUAUAGAGAGAAGAGCUAAGAAGAUUUCUCUAUGGUUUGAAAACAUUAUCAAUUCUGGUGUUGAACAGUAUAGAAACAAGUUUUCUGUUGUUAAAGGUGAAGAAGCUGCAGCAGGAAAAAAUAUUGAACGAUCAAGAAAUAAGGACUUCUUGCAGUUACUGUUGGAGCUUCAGGAAAAUGAAGAUAGUGCUUCAUCUAUUAGCAUGAACCAACUAAAGGCCGUGCUCGUGGUAUGUUAAGCAACUAGACACAAAAAGUUGUAAAAGCACAGUGAUAUAUUUGCGCGAGGCCGCGAGUGAUGUUUUGCCUCGAGAACUCUCAAUUUUAUCUUACGGUAAAAAAUGUUUUUCAACUUUUUUUAAUUAGAAUUUUAUUGCAAUUUAUUUAACAGGACAUAAUUGUGGCCGGAACCGACACCACAACUACGAUGGUGGAAUGGACAAUGGCAGAGUUGAUGCAACAUCCACAAGUAAUGAAGAAAGUUCAAGAAGAAUUAGCUCAAGUUGUGGGCAUGGACAGUUGUGUUGAAGAAUAUCACUUGCCUAAAUUAAAUUAUUUAGAUGCUGUGGUGAAAGAAACAUUUCGUUUGCAUCCUGCGUUGCCCUUAUUGGUACCUCGCACGGCAAGCGAGAACAGCAAUAUUGGUGGCUAUACCAUUCCCAACGACACUAAUUUUAUGUUGAAUGUUUGGGCUAUUCACAGGGAUCCUCAACUUUGGGAUAAUCCCUUAGAUUUUCGACCUGAGAGGUUCUUGAAUGAUGAUAUCAUAAGCAAAUUCAAUUACUCGGGUAACAAUUUUCAGUACUUGCCAUUUGGUUCUGGUAGAAGGAUGUGCGCUGGCAUUCCUCUAGCUGAGAGGAUGUUGAUGCUUGUUCUGGCUUCGUUGUUGCACUUGUUUGAGUGGAAAUUGCCCCCGGGCACAAAGCUAGACUUAGCUGAAAAGUAUGGGAUUGUCAUGCGGAAAAAAGAGCCUCUGAUUGCUAUUCCAACACCAAGGCUACCAAAUUCAGAUCUCUACCAGUAAGAUCAAAAUGGUUGUGAUGAUAUUAUUUCCCAUUGUAUUGGAAUAUUUUUGUGUGAUUUGAAGUUCAAUCAUAAUAAAAUAUUUUAAUAAAAUGUCCUCGGUUGCUAAUUUUUCAAUAGUAUACUCUAUCAUCGUUUCUAACUGUCUUUUAGAGCCAUUUGGUCUAAUUUAUUUUUGAAUUAAAAUCCAUAAAUAUUUAAAUUUUUGAAUCAUAUUAAGAAUUAUCUGGAGUGUAUGGUCUGAUCUUCAAGUUCUGGCUUGUAAACAAAUUAGAGUUCUGAUAUUUGCCCCGGGUCAAACCCCGAAAUUAAAUAAAACGGCGUCGUUUUGUUUUUUUUUUUUUUUUUUUCUUUUUUACUUCUUCCAAACGUUGCCAUUUCACUUGUCAUUUGCAAGUGACUCCAUUGAUCCUUAGUUGAAACAGAGUUACACCGUAAAUCUCUUCCUCUUCGUUUCUUCGUUUCACCAGGGAACGAGACAGAUAAAAUCCAGCCAUUCUUCGACAUAACAAGAUAUCGAUUAGAAUCCAACGACAUAACUAUAAACCAUGACAUUGCGCUUGAUUUUGCGAAAUACCGAUUAAGAACCAGUAACUUUGAAUCCAAUGACCGUUAAGAGUUUGAAAUUGGUUUCAAAUGACUAAUGAGUUAUCAGAUUUCUUUGCGUCUACAUUUUCCUUGAAGGUUUCUCAGCAGCCAAACAAAUACAAAGCAAAUUGCAGAAGAAACACAUUUUGUUCCAAUGAAAAAUGUACGGAAACAUUUUAAAUAUGGAAAAUUACCUCAAAAUGAAGGCUCGCAAGAGAUUCGAGCAACAAAUUAGAUCAAAGGAACCGGCGCUGAGCAAGAAAGUGAGCUCAAAGAUUCCGAAACACAAACGUAAAUUCACAAAAAUGCAAAUCUAUGAUGAACGCCAAGAUCAAAAUUUUCGAAGAAAGGGAGCUGAAAAAAUAAAUGAAACGUCAAACUAGAUGACAAUGGAUUUGCUUCUUCAAAGGAGACAAUGAAAUUGUUACUAGAGACAGCUAGAGAAAUAGAGAGAGAGAGAGAGAGAGCUUGAAUUGGCUGUACCCCCACCAGAAAGUGGGUAGUGCCUUUUCCACUUGGACUUGAUAUGCGAAUCUGAAAAAAUCUGAACGAAGGACUGACUCAUCCCAGCUCGAAAGCAAACCAAGCUAGGACUGACUGAAAACGUUGCCGUUUGGAGAAGUUAAAAAAAAAAACUAAACAAAACGACGCCGUUUUGUUUAGUUUCGGGGUUUGACCCGGAAUUUGACCCGGGGCAAACAUCAUUUUCCAACAAAUUAUGCAUGGUCGUGUACACGCUUUCCCUAAUUAAGCAUGAGGUUCGUGAUCAAGGCACAACAUUCACUCCCUGCGACCCAACAAUCGCUACAUUGUUUGCCACCUAUAGUGCCAACGAUUUUGCACGGUCCAAUUAUGGUCCCCAAUCGAAAACGUUGCGCAAAUGUUUUCUGGGCAAGAUGAUAAGUAACGCAAGCCUUGAUGCUUGUUAUGGUCUAAGAAAACAAGAGGUUAAUAUAUAUAUAUAUAUAUAUAUAUAUAUAUAUAUAUAUAUAUAUAAAUUGGCAUUGUCAACUUUUGUAUGUUUUAUUCAGAACCCGCUGUGGGUUGACGCUAGCAUGCUUGCGUUAGGAGACGAGGGGACCAAUCUUGGGGCUGAGCUAAAAUAUAAGCUUGUAGAGAUCAUCUUGCUAAUGGUAAUGUUUUCCGAUGCUGGUUUAAUUCAUGGUAUAAAAAGGAGAACAAAAAAGAUUUUUCUAUGCUUUGAAAAUAUUAUAAUUUUUAUUUUAUAAUUUUUAAUAAAAUCUCUCAUUGAUAGCCAAACAAUUAAAAUUUUUGUAAAGCUUUUGUGGACUUUUGAUCGCGUAUGGUGCCAAUGUAUUGCGUGGUCCUAUUAUGGUUCCAAAUGGAGAAAGUUGCACAAGUUUUUUGAGUACCAGAAGAUCAGUAAUGUAAGCCUUGAUGGUUGUUAUGGUCUAAGAAAACAAGAGGCUAAAAAUUCUAUCUGGGAUUUUUAUAACAACAACAAAAUUGGCAAGCCCAUUGACAUUGGUGAAUUGUCAGUUUCAACCUUGGUAAGUGCGAUUCAGAACAUGCUGUGGGGUGAAACGCUUGAAAUAACAAAGAAAUGGAUUUACUAAUAUUGGGGCUGGGCUAAGAUUUAAGCUUGCAGAACUCACGGUGCUAGAGGGAACACCGAAUAUUUUGGAUAUCUUUCCAGUGCUUUCAUGGUUUAAUAUACAAGGUUUUCAGAGAAUAGCAAAGAAGAUUUCUCUAUGGUUUUAAAAUAUUAUCAAUUCUACUGCUGAACGCUAUAGAAACAACGUCUCUAUUGUCAAAAGUGAAGAAGCAGCAGCAGCAGGGAACAAUAUUGAAGGAAGGAAUAAGGACUUGGUGCAGUUACGCUUGGAGCUUCAAGGUAAAGAAGACAAUGCUUCAUCAAUUAGCAGGACGCAAUUUAAGAGCUUGCUCGUGGUAUGUUGCGCAACUAGCCACAGACAGUUACAGAAACUGAGUUUGGCAGAUUACGACCGUUUCUGGUGAUUACAUAAUUAUUUGUGGCUGUUUUUUUUUUUUAAUUGUAAUUUUCUUAACAGGAUAUAAUUUAGGGUGGAACCAACACCACAACUAUAAUGGUGGAAUGGACAAUGGCAUAAUUGAUACAGCAUCCACAAGUAAUAGAGAAUGUACAGGUAGAACUAAAUCGGGCCGUGGCCAUCGACAGCCAUGUUGAAGAAUUUCACCUAGCUAAGUUAAAAUAUUUAGAUGCUGUGGUGAAAGAAACAUUCUGCACUGUAAUAUAAUACAUGAAUCAUAUGUCCUCUAUUGUUUUUUUAUUUUUCUCUUUUUUUCAAUAGCUUAAUCUAUCAUUAAAAUCUUCUGAAAUUCUAAAUUAAUAUACAUUCAACCUAGAGUUCAAGCCAAAGUUUUAUUGAGCAUUAAAAAAAAAAAAAAUUCUACGACUCAAAAUUUUGUGGAGUAUAAAUUAAAAAUUAUGCGCCUACUAAGAGACAAAAAAUAAAUGAUACACAUUAACCAAUCAAAGGCGAACAAGAGAUUAUUAACAAUAACCUAAUAAUAAAAUUAUAAUGAAUAAAAAAGAAAUGGUACCUAGAAACACAUCACAGCCAUUUAAGCAAUCACUUACCCACAAAAUCCAAACAUAUAAACUAUGUGGGGGGGGGGGGGGGGGGGGGGGGUGUCAUGAUACCUUUGGGUUUCAUGAUAAUCAAAAUUGCAAUACCAUUAAAGACUCAAAAAUAAAAAAAAUCAUAGCCAAUAAAAGAGAAAAAAUAACCCACAAAAAAUCAUCAAGAAAAUAAAUUUGAGACUAAGAGAAGAUAUUAAUUAAACCCUGGGUUGCCUUGGAACCACGGCUUUGGCUUCCAUUUUUCAAUUCUUGGCGACAAGUCAUUUCUUGUUUGUUUACAAAGAUGACGGCUGAUUAAUGAAGCUCUAUUAACAAUGAAUAAAUAAAAAAACUGGCGCCUUGAAAAGACUAACGGUCAUAUUUUUCAACUCCGAAUUAGUGCCGUUUGAUGAGUCCUUGCCAAAACAAUCACUAGGCAAAUAACAAUCAUUUUUCAACCAGCAAAACUCAUUCAUUGUAUUUCACCUUAGUCAAGAUUUAAAAAUUGUUUCAAAAUAAACCUAGUGGUUAGAACCCAAGCGUCACAAUUGUGAGGUCAUGGGUUUGAGCCCCCACAACGUAUUGUGGGGGUUAAUUUUCUUCUUCAAUUUGAGUGAAAACAGUUCUCUCCCUUUCGAAAUGUGGGUGGAGUGGACGUCCCUCAAAUAUUAGAGAGGGUUCAAAUUUGGAUUGUACUAUAUAAGAUUUAUAAAUUAGUCCCAGUAAUUAUCUGAUUGUAAAUAUCAAUAUACUAAUCUAAUUAAAUAUGAGUUGUAAUAUGAGCGUUAGUCUCAUGUAAUUAAAAAAAAAAUGUUUCAAAAUAGGAUUCUUAAAAGGUUGGGGAAAUGGCCAUCAAUAUCCCCAACUUUCCAAAAAGAGACACCAAGACCCAUUUUGACCAUAAUACCCUUUACUUCUAUUAUCCCCAAAAAAUUGACUCUAAUGUUUUAUAAUAAAUAAAAAUAUAACAUUAAAAUAAAUGUAAUAGUAUAUACAUUUUAAAAUAGUUUCAAUAUCUAAAAACCAUUUUAAUAUUUUAAAUCCUAUUAUAUAUAUAUUAAAGUAAAUUUUAUAAUAAAUAGAAUCAUAAUAUUGAAAUAAAUGCAUUAAAAUUUAAAUUAUUUUUAAUAUUAUGUAAAAUAAUAAUUUUAUCAUUAUAAGUAUAUGAGAAUUUUUUUAAUUGUAGAAUGUAUUUAAUGCAAAUAUUUAUUUAAAAUCUCUACAAUAAAUAAAAAUAUACUAUUAAAACAAAUCUCUACAAUAUAUACAUACAUACAUAUACAUUGGCCUGGUAUUUUAUUUUUCAUUUUUUAAACUUAUUAAAUCCUCUAACUAUCAUUUGAUUAUUUUUUUCAAUGAUGAAGAGGCCAUUGCCGGAUAAAUUAUUAAAAUCAACUAGUUCUACAAGAAUGUCCCUUUUUAAAGGAAGAUGAUUCUCUCUCUCGAAAUUUUUUAUCUUGUGCUACAAACUAAAAACUUAUGCCAUUUCAUUAACCACAGAGAUCUUUGAGGAAAUGAUGCUUCGCCCCCCCCCCCCCCCCCCCCCCCCCCCCCCCCCCCCCGCGGCGCCAAAAAGUGUCCUUCCAUAUUUUGUGAAGGCUAAUACAUCGAUGAAUCUAGAUUUCUUUAAAUUUUUUGUUUUACUCAAUUCGAGAUAAUAAAUAGUUUAUCUUUAUUAAAUCUUUACUUUAACAAUGAUAGAUAUUCAAUCCAUGCAAAUAUCUAUCAUUGUAUGAGCUGAUUGCGUGGAGGGAGCGGUAAUUGAAAUCUAAUUGAAAACAGCAGAAGGCUGUUCUUGACAGAUCUCAAAUAUAUUACGGACACGUUGGGAGACAUCUCUAUCAUAGAUAUCCCCAUGCAGUGAUAUUUGUCGUGAUCUAAUUUUUAGUAAAUCUGUAAGAGAGAUUGUAACAUCUUUCAAGUUUUUUGGUUUGAUAUUCUAGACGAAAACGGUUUGUCGUUUCUUGAGCAAACGGCUAACCGUUUAAGUCCAGAGAGCAUGUUUGUUGUUCUGGAUAAAACGGCUCACCGUUGUUGCGAAAACGGCUAACCGUUUAACUCAAGAGAGCAUGUUUUAUGUUCUAGAGAAAACGGCUCACCGUUAUUGAGAAAACGGCUAACCGUUUAUUUACAGAGAGCAACGUAUUUGAUAUUCUGGAAUAAAAUGGCUCACCAUUUAUUGAGAAAACGGCUAACUGUUUAUUUCCAGAAAGGCGUCAAUUAGAAAAACGGUUAGCAAGAAUGAAAAUUUCAAUUGACAAUCGAUGCAAAUUCAAACCAAAAGAGUGUCUUCGAAAAAGUACCAUUUCUAAUGGUUGUAUUCUUUCAAAUAAACAUCUUCUUCAUUAAAGAAAUACACACAAUUAGAUUGAUAAUCAGAUUUUGACAGGUUUCUUAUAUGUUCUGGAAAUACAAUCUUAUUUGCUAGAGAUUGUAUUCAGGAUUUGUUAUAUCUUGGGGGUAAUUUGCCAUUAAAACUAUAUAGCAAACCAAGAUUGGUGAGGGCAAAUAAAACCUUAAAGGAAAGUAUGCAAACACGUCUCAAAUCCUAUGAAACUUUCUUUGUUCUUUGCCUCCAUAUUCUUAUUAUUCACUAACAAAAUCCCCAUGCAGUGAUAUUUGUCGUGAUCUAAUUAUUAGAAAAAUCUAUGAUUUCGCUACUGUAAUAAAAUUUGUCACUACUCUACAUUAAUCUAAAUGUCUGAUGAGAUUUGUAAUUGCUUCCGACGGGAAAACAGUUAAUAGGUUGAUUGAAUGUAUGUGGUAAAGAUUCCACGUAUCUCACGACAGAAUGCUGACCACUGGAACCCUAUCUACUUUUACGCGAUUAAUUCACGAGCUUAGGCACGACAAUUGCAAUACAAAUUAUCCCUUCAUCAUAUAUUUCGUUAAAAUUCAUUCUGAAGCACUAAAACUAAACAAUCGAAUAUGGCUUUGAGGGUCGAUGAUGCCAGCAGCAAUGAGAGUGCAAUUAUCACUUGUUUAGUUUCUGUGCUUGCCGUGGCUUAUUUAGCAUGGAAUGUGAAAAAAUCAAGGAAAGCAAAUGCUAAACUGCCACCAGGACCUCGCGGCUUGCCUGUAGUCGGAUACCUCCCAUUUCUCGGGACUACUGACUUGCACAAGAAAUUCACGGAAUUUAUUUUACUAUUAUAUUUAUAUUCAAAAUAAUUUUAAUUAGCUUUUAAAAUGAAUGAUUUUAGGAAAUUAUAAAUAAAGGUAACUAAGAAUUCUCUUAAUGUAAUAUAUUAUUAAUUAGUUUAAAAAUACAAAUUUAUUAAUUAGAGAAAUUAUUAGUGAAUUUAAAUUAAUGAUCUUAAUGAUUUGUUUGUACGAUUGCCCCCAAUCAAAGGUAAUUUUCCUAAAAAUUAUUAGGAAAUUAGAGAAAUUUAAUUUUUUUAGUGGGUUCAAUUGCCCACACACCCCGACUGAAGCAUUUUUUACAAUAUGUACUCCGUUUGUCGGCAGGAAAAUAAAGGUCUUGACACAUGAUCACUUCACUCCUUUAUUUACUUUGCUAACGCAGAUUUUGAGGUAUUAAAACAAAUAAUAAUUGAAUAUGACUUUGUGGGUCGACGACGCCAGCAACGAGGAGACCGCCAAUUAUCACAUUUUAAGUUUGCUGUAAUUGCCGUUGUUUUAUAUUAGUAGAAUAUUAGUGAUAAGAUAAUUGUAGAGUUUUCAUUUUUUUAAUAUUAAAAUCAAGUCAAUUUAUUAUAAUAAAUUUAGUUGAAUUUAAUCGUAUUACCACAUAAAUUGAAUAAUAAUAGAAUUCUCGACAAUAUUUCAAUAUUUUAAUCUCAAGCAUUGGAGUGGCAUUUAUUUGUUAUACGGUCGAUUUUAGAAUUUAUAAAAUUAUUCGUUGCUGAAUUGCACCAUAUGCUGCAUAACCUGAAACUUAAUAAACGGAACGUAGCGUUGGCACCGUUACUCAACAUUCACUGUUACGACUUUGUGACAUUAGAAUUAAAAUCUUUUCCACAUUUAAUUUGUUUACUUCCAACUUAAUAUUUAACAAAAUGUAUGUUAGCAUUGUAUGCCAUAUCAUCUGUAAUUUUGUCAGGAUCGAUCAUUCUAAUUUUUAAGCAGAACUUUUUGUCAAUGGACAAACACCUCAUACAGCUUGUCAGAGGCAUUAGUAUGAUGUAAAAUUGUAAUGGUAUAUCUUGAAUUAUUUUAGAAUAGUGAAUAACUAUUUGGAGCAAUAAAAACAAAUAAGACAGAUGAGAAAAUGGCUAAAAUUAUAUAAGUGACCCAAAAUUUUUUGCUAUUUCCAAGAAAUCCCCAAUCUGAAUGGACCAGAGGGAGGCAAGUUAGAAAUACAUUUCCUUCAUAGACAAUAACAACGAUGAGUGGAUGACAUCAAACCACGUUGGUAUCAAUAUUGAAAUAAAGGUGCAAUUAUUCAGCCAAUGAGCCUUAGUACACAUCAAGAUAUAUAAAAGUCAAGAAAAUGAAAAUUUAUCCCAAUUAAAACUCUUUCUGGCUGCAUUUAGCUGUUUCUGUUUAGGGAUGGCAAUUUAAUCCGGACCCAGCCCGACCCGGAUGAAUCCAGAAAAUUCGGGGUGGAUUCAACCCGUACCGGAGUGAAUAAAAUCUGAUAUUCAAAUUCAAUAUUUUCAACCCGGACGUUUCCGAGUCCGGAUCCGGAUUUGGGUAAACCCGCAUAUCCGGAACCCGGAUCCGGAUAACUAUUUUAAUAUUAAUUUUUAAAUCAUUUUAAAAUAAAAAAAAAUUAGAAAAAAUCAGCCCUAAUGCCCUUCCACAGCCACGGCAGCCAAACCAAACCCAGACAUUUCCUCUCUCUCUCUUUAGCCCUUCUUUUCAACAAAUCAUCAUCGUUGCUCAUCAUCGUUUCGUCGUGUUCAUCUUCAUCUUCAUCAUCAGCUGCCGUUUGUCCAGCUAUGUCACUAGUUUUGGCCGCCGUUUCCGUUUGUGCACCUUCGCAAAUCGGGAUCUCGAUUUGGCCGCCAACACUUCUACCCCCUGGUGUUUUGCUUUGUCCUCGACAACUUCUUUGUUGAUAAAUUGACGGGCACUUAUGAAUGCAUUUGUCUCUGUUUCUUCAUUUACACCUUCCCAGUUGUUUGUUCAUUUGCUUUUUGGAAGGAAAAAAAAAAAAAAUCAGCCACCAUUUAUCCUUCCCCUUUUCUUGACCUAACCCCACAAAGCCCAAUUUGUCAUCAUCAUUCAUUGGCAAAUUUGUUAUCAUCAUGGUUGAGACAUCAUGAUUAUCUUUGAUAAUUGAAUUUGUGUAAUAUGUUACCUUGGAUUUUAUUUCUAAGUAUUUGAUUUUGAAUUAUUUUCCAUUAUUGGUGUUAAUAGAUAGAAGAUUAGAAAGGAAUUCUUCACUGAAUAAAGAGAUGGGAAAUUGCAUCUUUUAGCAAUCAUCCGGGUUAUAAACCCGGAAUCCGGAAACCAGGAUUUUUCCGGGUUUAACCCAGUCCGGACCCGAAUGAAAAAUAUCCGGGUUUACAUCCGGGUCUGGUAUUAAAAUUUAUCGUCCGGAUCCGGAACAGGGAAGACAAAACCCGGACCCGAACCCACAUUUUGCCAUCCCUAUUUCCAUUUGAAGUUAACAACAACGUUUCUUUCGUUUUGUGGGCGACUUGACUGAGCCAGCUGGAUUCUAGUGCUAGUAUGUGAAAAUAGAAGGCUAAUGAUUUCACGUUCACUAGCCCACCUCCCCUCCUCUCGUUUCCUCUGAAUCAAUUUUCACGUGUGGUACCGAUUGAAAAUAUCUCUGACAUUUCGUGGACAUCUCUAUUGAAAAUAUCUCAGACAUUUCACUCAGGCAAACUUAUUAAUAUAAAAAAUCUAUGAUUUUUUCGUCUUAUACUGUAGAAAAAUUUGUCUAUACAUUAAUCUAGAUGUUUGAGGUGGUUUAUACAUCUGUGGUAUAGAUUUAUAGGUUGAUUGAUACGUCUGUGGUAUAGAUUUUAUGUAUUUCAUUAUCAAAUGCUGGCCUUUGGGACCCUAUCUACAUCUAUUUAUAAAACUAACGGGUGCCAGUUAUGCCAUUACAAAUUAUCCCCUCUUCAUACAUUUCCUUAAAAUUCUUCUGAAACACCAAAACUAAAUAAUCGAAUAUGGCUUUGCGGGUCGAUGAUGCCAGCAACAAUGAGGCUGCAAUUAUCACUUGUUUAGUUUCUAUGCUUGCCGUGGUUUAUUUCGUAUGGAAUGUGAACAAAUCAAGGAAAGCAAAUGCUAAACUGCCACCAGGACCUCGCGGUUUGCCUGUAGUCGGAUACCUCCCAUUUCUCGGAACUACUGACUUGCACAAGAAAUUCACGGAAUUAUCCGGAGUUUAUGGUCCGAUCUUCAAGCUCUGGCUCGGAAAUAAAUUAAGUGUCGUGGUGAGCUCACCUUCCCUAGUUAAACAAGUGGUUCGUGAUCAAGAUACAACAUUCGCAGACCGUGACCCGCCGAUCUCAGGACUAGUGACCUCCUUUGGUGGCAAUGAUAUUACAUGGUCCAAUUACGGUCCCGAAUGGAGAAAGUUGCGCAAAUUUUUUGUGGGCAAGAUGAUGAGUAACGCAAGCCUUGAUGCUUGUUAUGCUUUAAGAAAACAUGAGGUUAAAAAUACUAUCAGGGAUUUGUAUAACAACGGCAACAAAAUUGGUAAGCCCAUUGACAUUGGUGAAUUGUCGAUUUCAACAUUGGUAUGUGCUAUGCAGAACAUGCUGUGGGGUGAAGCGCUUGAAUUAAAAGAGAAAGGGACAACUAAUCUUGGGGUUGAGCUAAAAUUUAAGUUUGCAGAACUCAUGGUGCUACUGGGAACACCGAAUAUUUCGGAUAUCUUUCCAAUGCUUUCUUGGCUCGACAUACAAGGUAUAGAGAGGAGAGCAAAGAAGAUUUCACUCUGGUUUGAAAAAAUUAUAAAUUCUACUGUUGAAAAGUAUAGAAGCAAGGACUUUAAUGUUGAAGGUAAAGAAAGAGCAGGGGAAAAUUUUGAAGGAUCAAGGAACAAGAACUUCUUGCAGUUACUAUUGGAGCUUCAAGAAAAUGAAGACGGUUCUUCCUCAAUUAGCAUGAACCAAUUUAAGGCCGUACUCGUGGUAUGUUAAGAAACUAGCCGCAAACAGUUAUACAAGCACAGCUGUAUAUUUUGCAUGAGUGAUAUUUUCAACCUUUUUUUUUUAUAAUUAGAAUUUUAUUGUAACCUUUUGGACAGGAUAUAAUUACGGCUGGAACCGACACCACAACUACGAUGGUGGAAUGGACAAUGGCAGAGUUGAUGCAGCAUCCACAAAUAAUGAAGAAAGUUCAGGAAGAAUUAGCUCAAGUUGUGGGCAUGGACAGUUGUGUUGAAGAAUUUCAUUUGCCUAAAUUGAAAUAUUUAGAUGCUGUGGUGAAAGAAUCGUCUCGUCUGCAUCCUGCAGUGCCUUUAUUACUACCACGCAGAGCAAGCGAGAGUGGCAGCAUUGGUGGCUAUAACAUUCCCAAAGAUACAACUAUUAUGUUGAAUGUUUGGGCAAUCCACAGGGACCCUAAACUUUGGGAUAAUCCCUUAGAAUUUCGACCCGAGAGGUUUCUAGAUGAUGGUAUCGCGAGUAAGUUCGAUUACUCAGGUAACAAUUUUCAGUACUUGCCAUUUGGUUCUGGUAGAAGGAUGUGUGCUGGGAUUCCUCUAGCUGAGAGGAUGCUGAUGUUUGUUUUGGCUUCGUUAUUGCACUCAUUUGAGUGGGAAUUGCCAGCUGGCACAAAGCUAAACUUAUCUGAAAAAUUUGGGAUUGUCAUUAAGAAAAAAGAGCCUUUAGUUGCUAUUCCAACACCAAGACUAUCCAAUUCAGAGCUCUACCAUUAAGACAGAAUGGUUGUGAUGAUUUUGUUAAUUUCCGAAGAUUUGUAUGUUAUGUCAAGUUCAAUCGUAAUAAAAUAUUUCAAAUAAGAGUCCUCCGUUGCUUUUUUUUUUUUUUUCAACCGCAUAAUCUGUCGUCAUGCUUGUAUUUGGGGCUACUUUGGAAUAAUUAUGUUUGAAUUACAAUAUAUAAAUAUUACAUUUUAAAAUUUUAUGAGAUUCUAAAUUUAUACACGUUCAAUAACCCACUUCAUAUAUGUUUAACACAAUUUAUAUCAUACAUUGUAUACCCAUUUGUCAUAAAUUACGCUAUUUUAUAUCUCUAAAUAAUAUUACAUAUUGAUAUUAUAAAAUGUUGUUAACUCACGUGUGUAUAUAUAUAUAGCAAGUCACGUGCAUAUAUUAUUGGUUGUUAUAUGUUUGCUAGUUUGAUAGGAUUUCCUUUCCUUGUGAACUAGGGUAAUUCUUAUGUACAUAUAAAUAUUGAUCAAUAAGAGUGCAGAUGAUGACUGCAGUUUUGCAUCGUAGAAAUUCUUCGUAAAAUAUAUAUGUUUAUCAAAAGGCUAUACCAUUCAAUAUAUAUUGGAAAGAGAACAAAGAAGAUCUUCUUAUGGUUUGAAAAUAUUAUGAAUUCUGCUGUUGAACAGUAUGGAAACAAGGUCUGUUGUUAAAGGUGAAGAAGUCACAGGGAACAAUAUUGAAGGAAGAAAUUUCACGUUUAGUUGCUGAAUUUGCCGCUGUAUUCUAUCGGUAGUAAAAAGAUUAGAGUUUUUAUUUUUCUCUAUUAAUGUUAAGUCAAUUUUCUAUAACAAAUUCGGUUGAGUUUAAUUGUGUUACAAUAUAAAUUGAAUGAUAGUAGAAUUUUCAACGAAUAAUUCAAUAUUUCUAUCUCGAUUGUUGAAGUGCCAUUUAUUUGUUAUACGAUCGAUUUUAAAAUUUAUAAAAUUAUUUGUUACUAAAUUGCAUCAUAUGCUAAAUCACCUGAAACCUAAUUUCAUAACUAACCCUUUAUUUUUAGUUCUCAAGAAAUCUUGUAAGAACAAAAUUCUUUUGUAACAAAACGUUUACAACAAAUUAAUUUGUAACUCAUUCCUGUGCGAGAAUCACUCUCAAUUUCCUUCAAUUGCUGUUUAACAAUCAUCUGCUUAUCAAAAUUCAAGCAUAAUCUUUUUUUUUAAUUUCUUCAUCAUUCUUUUGAAAAAAAAAAUCAGGAUAUGCUGUUAAAUUUUGAAAUAAAUUAUCUCAAAAUAAUUACUAACCAGAAAAAACAAAGGGGUUUAACUAGGUUAUGCAUACCUUUGAAAAUUAUAUGUUGAUCGAUAAGAAUGAUGAUCACGAUUGACGAGUUUAAUUAAAAUAUAUAAGAUUUUAAAAUUAAUCAGGGUUAAAUUGUGAAUUUUAGAAAGAGAGGUUUUGUGAGAAUGUUGAAAGGGUGUUAAUAGUUCCACUCUUUUUAAAAACAACCAUAGUCAUCAUUUUUCCAUGGUUGUUUUUAAAAAGAGUAUUUCUUCUUCCCAUCUCCAUCUUAUUUAGAAAUUUCCCAGAGCCUUUGUUUCCCACCUUUCAUUUUUCUUCUUUCUAAUUUAAUAAUCCACCCUUCUUGUAUUCAAACUAAAAAAUUAAAAUCUGAAAAUUUAAAACCCAAUAUUAUAGUAUUAUAAAAAUAAUUACUCACAUUUUAUCAAACACCUCCAUUCUUCCAAGGCCUUGUUUUAGUAGUAGGCUUUUAUUAUCUCAAUAAAAUUGAAAAAAAAAAUCUCAAUAAUAUUGGAAAAAAACCCUACCCAUAUUUGUAACUUUAAUUUAUUAUUCUCCAUAGACCUACUUUUUAGUUUUGAAUUUUGUUGGAGCCAUAUAUAAACAGAAUAUGUUGAAAUCAGCACCCAAAAAAAAAAAAACUAAUUAUAUAAUUUAUGUUCCCAAGGACAUGGCUGAGUGAUUUUCAAGAAGUUUUGUUUGGCUGGCCACUUAGGUUUAAAUCUUGGUGGAGAUUAAGGGUUAAGAAAUAAAUUUAGACUUUGCACACCCCUUUAACUUUUAAAAAGAAAUGAAAAAAUUAAUUAAUUAAUCUUUAUUUUAUUUAUUAAAUGUCAUAAUCCUAUGCGUAUUUUAUUUGUUAUCUUUCUAUUUAAAAGACGAGGGCAGAUAAAACUGAAAUAAAUUUUUAGCCCUAUCUCCAUAUUUCAAGUUCCAUAGUUAGGUGACCAGCUAAAAAAAAUUAAUUGAAAGCUACUCCAUCAAAUUAAAAAAAUUUAUUUAUUUAAUUUGUGGAGAUGUAGAAAAUCAAACCCCAUACCUUUUCGCAUACACUGAACAUAUUUUAAUACAUGACUAUCAUCCUUUAUCCUAAAUACUACUAUAACUAAUAACAUACAAUUGAAAUAAUUAAUGUUAACACUUGGCUAUAAAUAAAGGUUUUGUGCUUGAAUCUUCACGCAUGACCUUCAUUCCUUUAUUGACUUUGCUAACACAGAUUUUGAGGCAUUAAAACUAAAUAAUAAUUGACUUUGUGGGCCGAGGAUGCCAGCAACAAGGAGACCACAAUUAUCACUUAAGUUACUCUAAUUGCCGUUGUCUUAUAUUCAUAGAAUAUUAGUAAUAAGAUUAUUGCAGAAUUUUUUUAAUAUUAAAAUUAAGUCAAUUUGUUAUAACAAAUUUAGUUGAGUUUAAUCGUGUUACUACAUAAAUUGAAUAAUAAUAGAAUUCUCGACAAAUAUUUCAAUAUUUUUAUCCCAAGCGUUGGAGUGGCAUUUAUUUGUUAUACGAUCGAUUUUAGAACUUAUAAAAUUAUUCGUUACUGAAUUGCACCAUAUGCUGCAUGACCUGAAACUUAAUAAACGGAAUGUAGCGUUGGCACCGUUACUCAACAUACUGUUACGACUUUGUGACAUUAGAAUUAAAAUCUUUUGCACAUUUAAUUUGUUUACUUCAAAAUUAAUAUUUAACAAAAUAUUUUUUUCACAUUAUCAAUGGACAAAACUCCAACGAAAAUAACUACACAAGAAAAAUGUAUGCUAGUAUUGUGUGCCAUAUCAUCUGUAAUUUUGUCAGGAUCGAACACUCUAAUUUUUAAGCAGAACUUUUUAUCAAUGGACAAACACCUCACACAGCUUGUCAGAGGCAUUAUUAUGAUAGAAAACUGUAAUGGUAUAUCUUGAAUUAUUGGUAGAAUAGUUCUUUGGAGCAAUAAAAAUAGAUAAGACAGAUGAGAAAAUUGUCAAUACCCCACCGCAAAAGCAAAAGAAAAAAAGGAAAGGAGACAAAAGAGGAAGAAGAAAAAAAGGAAAGGAGACAAAAGAGGAAGAAGAAAAAGAAAAAAGAACGAAGAAAAAAAUGGUGCCGCGCUGUAUUGGGAAGAAGAAAAAAAUUAAUAAAAUAAUAAUAAAUAAUAAAUAAUAAAUAAUAAAAUAAUAGUGCACAACAAUCAUUUGAUUGCUAUAAAUAAAGGGGCAUUUUCCUCAUUUUAUUCAUCGAAUUCUUCAGUUCCUUUCAAGCGAUUUAAGAGUCUAGUGAUUUGAGAGUUUGGGAGUAUUGUGAUUUUGAGUACUAAGUUAAAAUACUAUAAUACUUGUAACUCAUUUUCACUAGUAAAAUAUUUUUCUUCUGUCUUCGCCCGUAGACGUAGGCUAAAAGCUGAACCACGUAAUUUCUGGUGUCCCUAUGUGAUUAUGUGUCUCAUUAUUUCUCAAUUUUACUUUAGUUACGUGUCUGCUACACCCUUCAAUUUACUAACAAAAAUGGCCAAAAUUAUAUAAGUGACCCAAAUUUUUUUGCUAUUUCCAAGAAAUCCCCAAUCGGAAUAGACCAAACUAGAGGGAGGCAAGUUAGAAAUACGUUUCCUUCAUAAACAAUAACAGCGAUGAGUCGAUGACAUCGAGCCACGUCGGUAUCAAUAUUGAAUUAAAGGUGCAAUUAUUCAGCCAAUGAGCCUUACACAUCAAGAUAAAAGUCAAGAAAAUGAAAAAUUUAUCCUAAUUAAAACACUUUCUGGCUGCAUUUAGCUGUUUCUAUUUGAAGUUAAAAACAACAUUUCUUUCGUUUUGUGGGCAACUCGACUGAGUUCGCUGGCUUCUAGUGCUAGUAUGUGAAAAUAGAAGGCUAAUGAUUUAUUUGUUAUCUUUUGACAAAAAAUGUUAAAGAUAUAAUAGAUUUUCCAUGAUACAAAUGAAAAAUUAUAUCAACAUAACUUCCAAGCUACAGCAGCUAGUGUUUACCAAACACUUUGCUGUAGCUUUUAAGCUACAGCUGCCCAACCUCAAUAGGUUGAUUGAAUUUGUGGGAUAUAGAUUCCACAUAUCUCAUGACCUAUUAAUUAUACAAGUGGUUCUUGAUCAAGAACAACAUUUGCUUCCGACCCAGUAACCCAGCAACUGCUGCACUGGUCGCCACCUAUGGUGCCGACGAUAUUGCAUGGUCCAAUUAUGGCCUUGAAUGGAAAAAGUUGAGCAAAUUAUUUGUGGGCACGAUGAUAAGUAACGCAAGCCUUGAUGCUAGUUAUGGUCGAAGAAAACAAGAGGUUAAGAAUACUAUCAGAGAUAUGCAUAACAACAAAAAGGAAAAAAAAAAAAAAAGGCAUUGGCAAGUCAAUUGAUAUUGCUGAAUUGUCGAUUUCAACUUUGGCAUGUGUAAUUCAGACAUUGCGCGUUGUGGUAUGGCGCUGGCACGCUUGCAUUGCCGAGAGGACAAAUCUUGGGGCUGGGCUAAAAUUUAGGCUUGUAGAACUCAUGGUGCUAAUGGGAACGCCAAAUUUUUUUAACAUAUUUCGGUGCUUUCAUGGUUUAAUUCAAGGUAUAGAAAGGAGUGUUGAGAAUGUCAAAUAAAACGACAUUGAAUGGAAGUUGUCAAAGACAUGAUCCGCACUGAACGGCAAUGACACGGUUGGUAAAGAUUUUUUCAUAAUAUGCGUAUCUAAUUUUUGAAAAAUUGUAACCUCUGCUUCUAUAAAUAUGCUCAAUGUAUAAUGUUUUACUUAAGAAAUGAAAAACUUAAUUCUUUAUGGUAUCAGAGCGAGGCUCGUUGCUCUGUUUGUAACAAAAACAAAGAAAACUAAAUUCUUCCCACAACUAUUUUUCCACCUUUUUUUCUUCCUUAAAAGCAUUCCUAGCAUUACAGAAACCCAUGCCAAUAAAAGAACAAGCCACACAUAUGUAAAAACUUUAGUUUACAAAUCUAUCAACAUCCCCAUAAAUUUUCCCAAAAAGUGAUCUUCAAAAACCAAAAAUACCAUCAAUUUUCGCAUCUUCUAGUAAACAAACUAUAAAAGUUUCGCACUCAAACAGAGCCACACGCGCCUCCACGCGCUUCCCGGAAUCACGGCCAACCACCACGCGCCUCUGUCACCACCAACUCACCCUCAUGCGCUCCAGAUGUUGCAGAAGACGCAAAACGACGUGUCGUUUUCUUCUCUAAAAGUGCAGCAACGUGGAAAUGACUUUUUGUUUUUGCCUUAAAUUGUUUUUCCUCGUUUGAAGCUAUACAACAUUUUUCUUUCUAAACCUGUUUUUUACAAUAAAAAAAGAAAAAAAUGGAGAAAACUCCAACUGAAUCUACUCAUGUUGUCAUUCAAUCUGUUCAACCUGAUGGAGUAUUUAAUGCCGAAAUUAUCCUUACUAAGACAAACUACGAUAUUUGAUCUCAAAUAAUGGAGAUGCAUCUCGCAGAAAGAAAAAAACUCCCAUAUAUUCGUAGCAGCAUAAAUCCAUCUGACAAAUUUUCAAAGAAAUAUGAGAAAUGGUAUAGUGAGAACCAAAAAGUAAAAAGAUGGUUACUCAUAACCAUGUGUCCUGAGAUCAUGAAGCGAUAGUUACAAAUUCCUACAGCCUACGAAAUUUAGAAUGCAUUAUCAAAAGCCUUUUAUAAUGGAAGCGAUGAAAUACAAGUUUUCACUCUAAAUCAGAAGGCGUUCUCUACGAAGCAAAAUGGACAACCACUCUCUAAAUUCUACGGAGAAUUGAUCAAAAUGUUUCAAGAACUUAAUCACCGAGAUAAAGUGGUCAUGAAGGAUCCAGAAGAUGUUAUAAUAUAUAGGAAGUUUGUUGGAAGAUUGAGAGUGCACAUUUUUCUUGCUGGACUAGAUGAAGAAUUUGACCAAGUUUGUGGAGAAAUUCUACGAAAAGAUACUAUCCUAGACUUAAAAGAAUGUUAUUCUCUAAUCCGAAAAGAAGAUGUACGGCAAAGCAAACUAACAAGAAGGUGGACGACUCAGAAACGUCUGCUAUGAUACCACAAGAGAACAAUGUUUUGAAAUUGUUCGAUAUCCUGACUGGUGGGAUACUCGAAGUAAUAACACAAAGCAGAGAUAAAAAACUGCAGUAGCUGAAUCCACAUCCACUACAGAUCUUAGAAAAGAAUCUUCAGCGCAAAUUGCAACCUCUGUCAAUUCAGGUAAGGUCAUUAAAACUCUUACAUUUGUUAUUAAUAGUAUAUGGAUAAUUGAUUAUGGUGCAACUGAUCAUAUGACUUUUGAUUCUUGACAAGUUUCUUAAUUGAAACCAUCUUCACAUAAACAUGUUUCUACUGUAAAUAGAACCACAACCUCAGUUAUUGGGGAAGGAUCUUUACAACUCACAAUUAAAUCAAAUUUAGACUUUGUGUUAAUUGUUCCAUCUUUAAAUUAUAAUCUUUUAUAUGUGUCUCAAAUAACCUCUUACUUAUCAUGUGUUGUAAUGUUUUGGCCCGAUCAUUGCAUGUUUAAGGACAUCCAAAUGAAGGAAACGAUUGGUUAUGAUAUUAAAUAAGGCAACUUGUAUUACCUGGAGAUGACAUCAACAAACACUGAAAAGCUAAGCCCCGCAUUAGUAGCAGACAAUUCCAUGAAAAAAAAGGAAAUAAGAAAUUUGGUUAUGGCAUAGACGAUUAGGGCAUGUGUCAUUUGAUUUCUUAAAAAAAUUGUUUCCUAGUUUGUUUCUGAAAUUUGAUAUUUGUAACUUUAAAUAUGAUGUUUGUGAACUUUCAAAUAGCCAUCGAACUACUUUUCCAUUGUCCUUAAAUAAGAAUCCAAUUCCUUUAAUGGUAGUACAUUCUGAUGUAUAGAGACCAUCUAAAGUUUCUACCAUUGGAAGAGCUCGUUGGUUUGUUACAUUUAUUGAUGAUUGUAGCAGAAUGACAUGGAUUUUUUUAUGAAAUUAAAAUCAUAUGAUGGUGACAACUCUAUUUCAGACACAAAUUUGAGUUCUACAUACUGAUAAUGGAGGCGAGUAUAUGAGCACAACAAUUCAACAGUUUUUGAAAUCACAAUGAACUCACCACCAAACCACUUGUGUGGGGACACUCCAACAAAAUGGCGUUGCUAAACAAAAAAAUAGACAUUUACUAGAAGUUGUUCAAGCAUCACUAAUUUAGGCCCGCAUGCCACUAUUUUAUUGGGGAGAAGCAUUGGCAUCCGUAGCAUACUUGAUCAAUCGGACACCUUCAAUCUUCCUUGGAUUCCAAACUUAUUUUCUAGUUCUAAAUGAAGAAUUAUGUCAUCAAAUGUGUCGAAUUUACCCCCACAUAUGUUUGGUUGUGUUGCCUUCGUUCAUUUGCCAUGACAAGAUAAAUUAUCUCCUCGAGCACUACGUUGUGUGUUUGUAGGGUAUGCCUUACAUCAAAAGGGGUACCGAUGCUAUCAUCCUCUAUUAAGAAAAAAUAUACAUCACCAUGGACAUAAUCUUUCAUGAAGAUAUCAUGUAGUACCCAUCGGAGCUUGAAUUUCAGAGGGAGUAUAAUGAAGAGGAAAUUCAUACUCUUACAUAUCUUUCACCUGAAGAAGAUCAAUCCUCCAUUGAGGUAGUAAACGUUCAAGAUACUGGAAAAGAAAACGACAAUGAUUCUCAGGCUGAGACAAGUGAAGACACAUUUAGGGAGCAAAAUAACUCAGACAUAACCACAAUCGAGAACGAGUCCAUGAAGAGCCACAUGAAGAAAUAUCUAACCAAUCAUCUGCAGAGGAUGAUCCUACCACAAAUCCCAGUCUAAUCAGAAGAAUACUUCCCCAGCAUCAAAAUAGAGGUAUCUCUAAACCCACAUAUAAGACUGACCUCUCUAGUAGAGUCAAAUACCCUAUGAGUCAUUUUGUAUCUAACCAUGGCUUAUCAAAAUCAAAUCAGUCAUUUGUGAAUCAAUUAUCUACUGUGUCUAUUCCUAACAGUGUGCAAUAAGCCUUAAAAUAUCGAAAGUGGAAAGGGCUAUGAAUGACGAAAUGAGAUCUCUUUAAAAAAAAUCAAACAUGGGAACUAAUUGAUCUUCCACCAGGAAAGAAACCAGUGGGUUGCCGAUGGAACUAGUUGAUCAUCCACCUCCAUUCUGACAAGCAAUGUUUAUCAGCAAUAACAAAUGACUGAAGCAUUUUAAUGAGGUUAGUAACGAAAAAGAGUUUAAUUAGAGAAUAUUAUAAGAGAAAUUCUAAUUUUUGAUUUUUAAUAAAUUAAAAUAUCUUAAAAUAUUAUUAGUUGGUGGUGGUUUCAUGUCAGAUUAAGACGUGACACCUUACUAAUGAGGUCGAGACAAUUAGCUUAAAUUAUUUCAAUGCAUUUGAAAUUUCCACUAAUGACUAUAAUUCUUUGUCCUAAUUACUAUGAUAAUUAAUAACAUACAAUUGAAAUAGUUAAUAUUAGCACUUGGCAAUAAAUAAUUAAAUUUCAUUAACACUAAAUAAUAAUUGAAUAUGGCUUUGUACAUCGAUGACGCCAGCAACAAGGGGACCGCGAUUAUCACUCUUUAAGUUGCUUUUAAAAUUGAUUUUAGUAGUGAUAUGAUUAUUGUAGUGUUUUUAUUUUUUAUAUUAAAAUUAAGUGAUUUGUUAUAAUAAACUUAGUUGAGUUUAAUGGUAUUACUACAUAAAUUGAAUAGUUAUCAAAUAUUUUAAUAUUUUUAUGGCAAGCGUUGACGUGGCAUUUAUUUGUUGUAUGAUGGAUUUUAAAAUUUAUAAAAUUAUUUGUUAUUAAAUUACCCCCAGAUGCUACAUCACCUGAAACUUAAUAAAGGUAUGAAGACAUGUGUGUGUGGACUGAAAUGAAGAAUAUGGAAAAGUUGAGAGCUGUUGUGCAGAUUGAGUUCAGUUGAUGGGGUCUAUUAGAUAUUGUCUGCUGACGUGGCAUGAAUUCGUUAUAAUCUGUUAUAACGAGUUCAGUAUAUCAGUAUACAAUAGAGCUGAUGGAUGGUGCCUGUUUUAGAGUCUUUUUUAUAUUCAUUUGUUCAUCAUUUUGCGCAAGAUCUGUUCCAUUGUGAUAUGUGUAAAGUCUUAUGUAAACCCACUUAUGAUUGGAUUAGUUCUUGAUUAAUAACAACGAGUAAAUUUUCCUUCAAGUGUGCUGGUCUGUGCCCCUGUUUUUUGUUCUGAUAUUGUUUCUUUGUUCUGGCAUUUCAUUUCGAUUGUGUUCUUGGUGUUUCUACUCAUCAAGAUUUAUGAGUCUUGUUGAGAUUAAAGACUUAAUAGUCUUAACAAGUGGUAUCAGAGCCUGGUGAAUCUCAGCCAUGUCUCUUUCGAAGCAUGAAAUUGAAAAAUUCACCAUUGGUGGUGAUUUCUCGCUUUCGAAAUUAAAAAUGAGGGCUCUCCUUGUGCAUUAGAGGCUUGAAUUUGCUCUGGAAAAAGAUAAUCUAGAGGCUGCUACAAGUUAUGUGACUGAUGAUAAGAAGAGACAAAUCCAAAACCGAGCUCGUAGCACUCUAGUUUUGAGUCUUGGUGACUCAAUCUUGAGAAAGAUUUCUGAAGAGAAGACAACCUUAGGGAUUUGGAACAAGGUAGAAGCUUUGUGUACAAAGAAGUCGCUAGCUCACAGACUAUUCUUGAAGAAAAAGUUAUACACAUUCUCGAUGAGAGAAGGAGUCACAAUUCAAGAUCACAUUGAUACCUUCAACAAGAUCAUUCUUGAUCUUGAAGGGGUGGAAAAUGUGACAAUAAGUGAUGAAGAUAAAGCCUUCUUCUUGUUGAGUUCCUUACCAAAGUCUUAUGAAGGCUUUGUAGAUACAAUGCUUUAUGGCAGAACAACAUUGACUCUUGAAGAUGUUAAAGCAUCUCUAAGUUCAAAAGAGAUUCAGAAGAACAAUGAGAUUGAAACAAAUAAUGGUGAUGGGCUGAUUGCCAGAUCAGAAAAGAAGAAAGAUCAGAAGAAUAAAAAUCAGGGAAAAUGACAUGGAAAGAAUUAAGAAAAUGCAGACAAGAAGAAAAAGAAGAGAAAAUGCUUCUACUGCCGGAAGGAAGGGCAUUACAUCAGGGAUUGUCUUAAAAAGAAAAAAAAAGAAAGUCAAGAGAAGUCAGGGGAUGCAGCUGUAGCCUCUGAUGAUGCCUCUGAUGGAUAUCACAUUGCUGAUUUACUUGUGGCCUCAAAUAGCAAUACUAAAGGUCAGUGGGUCAUAGACUCUGAGUGCUCUUUUCACUUGUGGCCUGAUAAAACCAUAUUUUACAAAUAUGAAGUUGUUGAUGGUGGUAGAGUCUUAAUGGGAAAUAAUAAUGUGUGUAAUCUUGUUGGUAUUGGUUCUGUGAAGAUCAAGAUGUUUGAUGGAACUGUAAGAGCUCUACAUGAGGUGAGGCAUGCUCCUAGGCUAAAGAGAAAUCUAAUCUCUUUAGGCAUGCUAGACAGCUUAGGGUAUUUCUUUAAAUCAGAAAGUGGUGGUUUAGAGAUAAGAAAGGGGACUGAGAUAGUGAUGAAGGGGGUUAAAGAAAAUGGCUUAUAUGUAUUGUAAGGCUCAUCAGUGCUUCUUCAAAAGGGAAUUUCUGCUCUUUUUGAGGAAGAUAUAACCAAGUUAUGACAUCUUAGACUUGGUCAUAUGAGUGUCAAAGGGAUGUAAGAGCUCAGCAAACAAGGGCUACUUGGUGGGGAUAGAAUCCAGCAACUGGAAUUAUGUGAAAAUUGCAUUUUUGGCAAAGCUCACAGGUCCAAGUUUCACAAGGGGGAGCAUAUGUCUAAGCAAGUUUUGGACUAUGCACAUGCUGACCUUUGGGGGCCUGCUCAAGUCCCAUCCUUGAGUGGUGGCAGGUAUUUCAUAUCACUAAUUGAUGAUUACUCAAGGAAGAUGUGGGUCUACAUACUCAAGACCAAAGAUCAAGCCUAGGAAAAAAUUCAAGGUAUAGAAAUCUUUGGUAGAAAAUCAAUUUGGAUUCAAGCUCAAAUGCUUGAGAACUGAUAAUGGUUUGGAAUUUUGUAGCAAAGAAUUUGAGGAAUAUUACAAAAAAACAUGGCAUAAAAAGGCACAAAACAGUCAGGUUCACCCCCCAGCAGAAUGGCUUGGCUGAAAGGAUGAACAUGACCUUGGUAGAUAAGACCAGAUGUAUGUUGAUAAAUUCAAAGCUUCCAAGAAGCUUUUGGGCAGAAGCUGUCAAUACAACAAGUUGUUUGGUUAACAGAAGCCCAUAUUCUGCAAUUGGCUUCAAAACACCAGAAGAAUUGUGGAAGGAAAAACCUGUAAAUUACCAAAAUCUCAGUGUUUUUGGAUGCCCUGCUUAUCUCCACAUCAAUCAAGGCAAGCUGGAAGCUAGGGCCUUGAAAGGAGUCUUUGUUGGAUAUCCUGAUGGGGUUAAGGGAUACAUAAUCUGGUGUAGAGAGUAAGGGAAGUGUAUAGUCAGCAGGGAUGUUGUGUUUCAUGAAUUUGGAUUGCUAAAAGAAAAUGCAGAGAAUGAUACUAGACUACAAAAUGAUUCAAUAAUUAUCAAACAAUCUGGAACUUCCAAGGUUAAGGUGGAGCUGUUUGGAAAUAAAGACAGUAGAAAAGAGGUAGCUGAUUAUGAAGAGAGGACCACAGCUAAAGUUGAGGAACAUGAGUCAUCAGAGUUGCCACAAGCUGACUUGCAGACUUAUCAGUUAGCAAGAGAUAGAGUUAGAAGAGAAGUCAAAGCACUAGUGAGGUAUGGCUAUGCUGACUUAAUUACUUAUGCAUUGUUGUGUGCUGAUGAUGUGGCAAUUGAAGAGCCUGCUAACUUCUCUGAAGUUAUUGAAAGUGUGCAUUGUGAUAAGUGGCUUGAGGCAAUGCAAGAUGAAAUGGGAUCCCUUCAAAGAAAUCAGACCUGGACACUUGUUCCAAAUCUAGGUAAUAAAAAGUUGAUCAGUUGUAAGUGGAUCUUCAAGAAGAAUGAAGGAAUUCCAGAUGUUGAACCUCCCAAAUAUAAAGCAAGGCUAGUGGCUAGGGGGUUUACACAGAGAAAGAGUGUAGAUUUCAAUGAAAAAUUUUCCCCUGUUCUUAAGCACAUUUCAAUAAGAAUUUUAUUAGUCAUGGUAGCCUUACUUGACUUGGAGCUUGAGCAAAUGGAUGUAAAAACAGCAUUCCUUCAUGGUAAUCUUGAAGAACAGAUAUUGAUGGCACAACCUAAAUGUUUUGAGUGCAAAGGAAAUGAGGAUUAUGUUUGUUUGCUGCAUAAGUCCUUGUAUGGACUCAAGCAAUCCCCACGACAGUGGUACAUAAGAUUUGAUGAUUUUAUGGUCUCAAAAGGCUAUCACAUAAGCAAAUAUGACAGUUGUGUUUACUUUGGUGGAUCAUAUCAAGGUGGAGUUGCUUAUUUGCUUCUGUAUGUUGAAGAUAUGUUAAUUGCAAGAAAAUAUAAGUUGGAGAUAGAGAGGUUGAAGAAAUGAAGGAUCUCGGCAAUGCCAAAAGAAUCCUUGGGAUGAACAUUACAAGGGGCAGAUCUGCUGACACUUUGUUCUUGAGUCAUGAGAAAUAUAUCAAGAAGGUUCUGGAGAGGUUUGAGAUGCAAGACUAUAAACCUGUCCAAACACCACUUGGUCCCCAAUUCAAGUUGACAGCAGCUCAAUCAUCAGAAGAUGAGUCUCAGGUGAGUGAAUUCCCAUAUGCACAGGUUGUAGGGAGCCUGAUGUAUGUAAUGGUAUGCACCAGGUCAGAUAUAGCUUAUGCAGUAAGUGUUGUCAGCAAAUUUCUCAGUUGUCUAGGCAAGGUUCACUGGAAUGUUGUAAAAUGGAUAAUGAGAUAUCUUAAGGGCUCUUUUACUUGUGGUUUGCUGUAUGGGAAGACUAAGAGUGACAUAAGUGAAGUCCUGGGGUUUGUAGACUCUGACUUUGCUGGAGAUCUUGAUAGAAUGAAGUCAACCUCAGGGUAUAUGUUUGUGUUAAACAGUUGCCUGAUUAGCUGGAAGUCAUCACUUCAGUCUGUGGUUGCUUUAUCCUCAACUGAAGCUGAGUUUGUUGCAACUACAGAGGCAGUAAAAGAGGCCAUGUGGCUAAGAGGUUUGCUUAAUGAGUUAUGGUUAAAUCAGAAAAUUGUUCAGGUUUUCUGUGAUAACCAAAGUGUCAUACACCUGGUAAAGAAUCAGAUGUAUCAUGAAAGAACCAAGCACAUUGAUGUGAAGCUCCAGUUUAUCAGAGAUGAGGUUGGAAAAGGAACUAUAAUUGUGUCCAAGAUCUAUACCAGUGUGAAUCCAACUGAUGUUAUUACAAAAGCACUUCCCACUGCAAAAUUUGAAUUCUAUGUGAAUCUAAUGGGCAUCUCGCCCAAACCUAACUAAAUUCAAUAGUGAAUUGUAGUUGAAUGAAGGUUUUUUAGGUGCUGUGUUAUUGAAAGGAUCAACUGAAUCAACUGCAAGGUGGAGAAUGUGAAGAUGUGUGUGUGGACUGAAAUGAAGAAUAUGAAAAAGUUGAGAGCUGUUGUGCAGAUUGACUUCAGUUGAUGGGGUCUAUUAGAUAUUGUCUGCUGACGUGGUAUGAAUUCGUUAUAAUCUGUUAUAACGAGUUCAAUAUAUCAGUAUAUAAUGGAGCUGAUGGAUGGUGCCUGUUUUAGAGUCUUUUUCGUAUUCAUUUGUUCAUCAUUUUGCACAAGAUUUGUUCCAUUGUGAUCUGUGUAAAGUCUUCUGUAAAUCCACUCAUGAUUGGAUUAGUUCUUGAUCAAUAACGAGUAAAUUUUCCUUCAAGUGUGCUGGUCUGUGCCCCUGUUUUUGGUUCUAAUAUUGUUUCUUUGUUUUGGCAUUUCAUUUCGAUUGUGUGCUUGGUGUUUCUACUCAUCAAGAUUUGUGAGUCUUGUUGAGAUUAAAGGCUUAAUAGUCUUAACAAAAGGGAAUGUAGCAUUGCCAUUAAUCAACAUUCACUCUUAUGACUUUAUGACAUUAGAAUUAAAAUCUUUCGUACAUUUAAUUUAUUUGCUUCCAAAUUAAUCUUUAAUAAAUAUUUUUUCACAUUAUCAUCAAUGGACAAAACUCCAACGAAAAUAACUACACGAGAACAAUUUAUGCUAGUAUUAAAUGCCACGAUAUCUAUAACUUUGUCUGGAUCGAUCAUUCUAAUUUUUUCGCAGAACUUUUUGUCAAUGGACAAACACCUCACAGAGCUUGUCAGCCGCAUUAUUACGAUGUAAAAUUGUACCGGAAUAUCUUGAAUUAUUAGUAGAAUAAUGAAGACUAUUUGGGGCAAUAAAAACAAAUAACGCAGAUAAAAAAAUGGCUAAAAUUAUGUAAGUGAGCCCCAAAGUUUUUGCUAUUUCCAGGAAAUCCCAAAUUUGAAUGGACUAGAGGGAGGCACGUAAGAAAUACAUUUUCUUCCUAGACAAUGACAGCUAUGACAUCAAGCCACGGUGGCGUCAGUAUUGAAAUUAAGGUGUAAUUAUUCAGCCAAUGAGCCUUACACAUCAAGAUAAAAGUCAAGAUAAUGAAAAUUUGGCUGUUUCCAUUUGAAGUUAAAAGCAACGUUUCUUUCGUUUUGUGGGCGACUCGACUGAGCACGCCCCAAUAGCUAUAUUUAGGGCGUCAAUUUGAUAUUUGAAUGGACAGGCAAGUAAGAAAUACAUUUCCUUCAUAGACAAUGACAACGAGGACAUCAAGCCACAUCAUUAUAGUUUGUAGCCCAUCUACAUUUAAACGAUUAAUAAACAAGCUUAGGUGUGCCACUGCUAUUAUUAAUUAUCCCCUGAUCAUUAUAGUUUCUGAAACAGUAAAACUAAACGAAAUUGAAUACAUCAACGAGACCGCAAUUAUCACUUGUUUAGUUGCGGUAUUUAACUUAAUUUUAAUAUAAUAUAUUUGUUAGUUAAACUUUUAAUAAUCAAAUAAUUUUGAUUUAAAAAUAAAAUUAUAGAAAUUAUUAAUUAUUAAUUAUUAAAAAUUCACAAUUAAGGGAACGUUCAUCAAACACACAUAGCUAUUGUUUUCUCUAUAUAUUGCAGUGUGUACGAUAUUGAGGGUUGAAGCCCCAAGCAUGCUCUAAAAUCCAGAUAAUAAUUAGAUCCGGGCCAAAUAUUCAUCAUUGUGUCAGCUGAUCAGUCGGUGGACAUCUCUAUUGAAAAUAUCUCUGACAUUUCACUCGACAAACUUAUUAAUAUAAAAAAUCUGUGGUUUUGCCGUCUGAAUAAUGUAGAAAAAUUUGUCUAUGCAUUAAUCUAGAUGUUUGAGGUGAUUUAUACAUCUGUGGUAAAGAUUUAUAGGUUGACUUAGACGUCUGUGGUAUAGAUUUUAUGUAUUUCAUUACAAAAUGCUGGCCGUUAGAACCCUUUCUACAUCUAUUUAUAAGAUUAACGGGUGCCAGCUAUGCCAUUACAAAUUAUCCCCUCAUCAGAUAUUUCGUUAAAAUUCAUUCUGAAACACUAAAACUAAAUAAUCGAAUAUGGCUUUGCGGGUCGAUGAUGCCAGCAGCAAUGAGACUGCAAUUAUCACUUGUUUAGUUUCUGUGCUGGCCGUGGUUUACUUCGCAUGGAAUGUGAAAAAAUCAAGGAAAGCAAAUGCUACACUGCCACCAGGACCUCGCGGCUUGCCUGUAUUCGGAUACCUCCCAUUUCUUGGAACUACUGACUUGCACAAGAAAUUCACGGAAUUAUCCGGAGUUUAUGGUCCGAUCUUCAAGCUUUGGCUUGGAAAUAAAUUAUGUGUAGUGGUGAGCUCACCUUCCCUAAUUAGACAAGUGGUUCGUGAUCAAGAUACAACAUUCGCGAACCGUGACCCACCGAAGGCUGCACUAGUGGUCUCCUAUGGUGGCAAUGAUAUUGCAUGGUCCAAUUACGGUCCCGAAUGGAGAAAGUUGCGCAAAUUUUUUGUGGGCAAGAUGAUGAAUAACGCAAGCCUUGAUGCUUGUUAUGCUCUAAGAAGACAAGAGGUUAAAAAUACUAUCAGGGAUUUGUAUAACAACGACAACAAAAUUGGCAAGCCCAUUGACAUUGGUGAAUUGUCGUUUUCAACAUUGGUAUGUGCUAUACAGAACAUGCUGUGGGGUGAAGCGCUUGAAUUAAAAGAGAAAGGGACCACUAAUCUUAGGGCUGGGCUAAAAUUUAAGCUGGCAGAACUCAUGGUGCUUGCGGGAACACCGAAUAUUUCGGAUGUCUUUCCAAUGCUUUCAUGGCUUGACAUACAAGGUAUAGAGAGGAGAGCAAAGAAGAUUUCACUCUGGCUUGAUAAUGUUAUAAAUUCUACUGUUGAACAGCAUAGAAACAAGGAGUUAACUGUUGAAGGUGAAGAAAGAGCGGGGAAAAAUUUUGAAGGAUCAAGGAACAAGAACUUCUUGCAGUUACUAUUGGAGCUUCAAGAAAAUGAUGACAGUGCUUCCUCAAUUAGCAUGAACCAAUUCAAGGCCGUACUCGCGGUAUGUUAAGCAACUAGCCACGAACAGUUAUACAAGCACAAUUGUAUAUUUGCAUGAGUGAUAUUUUCAACCUUUUUUUUUAAUUAGAAUUUUAUUGUCACCUUUUGGACAGGAUAUAAUUACGGCUGGAACCGACACCACAACUACGAUGGUGGAAUGGACAAUGGCAGAGUUGAUGCAGCAUCCACAAGUAAUGAAGAAAGUUCAGGAAGAAUUAGCUCAAGUUGUGGGCAUGGACAGUUGUGUUGAAGAAUUUCACCUGUCUAGAUUAAUGUAUUUAGAUGCUGUGGUGAAGGAAACAUUUCGUCUGCAUCCUGCAGUGCCUUUAUUACUACCACGUAGGGCAAGCGAGAGUGGCAACAUUGGUGGCUAUACCAUUCCCAAAGAUACAACUCUUAUGUUGAAUGUUUGGGCUAUCCACAGGGACCCUCACCUUUGGGAUAAUCCCUUAGAAUUUCGACCCGAGAGGUUUCUGAAUGUUGGUAUCGAGAGUAAGUUCGAUUACUCAGGUAACAAUUUUCAGUACUUGCCAUUUGGUUCUGGUAGAAGGAUGUGUGCUGGGAUUCCUCUAGCUGAGAGGAUGCUGAUGUUUGUUUUGGCUUCGUUAUUGCACUCAUUCGAGUGGGAAUUGCCAACUGGCACAAAGCUAAACUUAUCAGAAAAAUUUGGGAUUGUCAUUAAGAAAAAAGAGCCUUUGGUUGCUAUUCCAACACCAAGACUAUCCAAUUCAGAGCUCUACCAUUAAGACCAAAUGGUUGUGAUGAUUUUGUUAAUUUCCGAAGAUUUGUAUGUUAUUUCAAGUUCAAUCGUAGUAAAAUAUUUCAAAUAAGAGUCCUCCGUUGCUUUUUUUUUUUUUUUUCAACGGCAUAAUCUGUGGUCAUGCUUGUAUUUGGAGCCACUUUAGAAAAAUUAUGUUUGAAUUACAAUUUAUAAAUAUUACAUUUUAAAAUAUUAUGAGGCUAAAUUUAUACACGUUCAAUAACCCGCUUCAUAUAUAUUUAACACAAUUUAUAUCAUACAUUGUACACCCAUUUAUCAUAAAUUACACUAUUUUGUAUCUCUAAAUAAUAUUACGUAUUGAUAUUAUAAAAUAUAUAUGGAAAAGAGAACAAAGAAGAUUUCUUAUGGUUUGAAAAUAUUAUGAAUUCUGCUGUUGAACAGUAUGGAAACAAGGUCUCUGUUGUUAAAGGUGAAGAAGCAACAGGGAACAAUAUUGAAGGAAGAAAUUUCACAUGUUUAGUUGCUGAAUUUGCCGCUGUAUUCUAUCGGUAGUAAAAAAAUUAGAGUUUUUAUUUUUCUCUAUUAAUGUUAAGUCAAUUUUCUAUAACAAAUUCGGUUGAGUUUAAUUGUGUUACAAUAUAAAUUGAAUGAUAAUAGAAUUUUCAACGAAUAUUUCAAUAUUUCUAUCUCGAUUGUUGAAGUGCCAUUUAUUUGUUAUGCGAUCGAUUUUAAAAUUUAUAAAAAUUAUUUGUUACUAAAUUGCAUCAUAUGCUAAAAUCACCUGAAACCUAAUUCCAUAACUAACCCUUUAUUUUUAGUUCUCAAGAAAUCUUGUAAGAACAAAAUUCUUUUAUAACAAAACUUUUACAACACAUUAAUUUGUAACUCAUUCCUGUGCGAGAAUCACUCUCAAAUUCCUUCAAUUGCUGUUGAACAAUCAUCUGCUUAUCAAAAUUCAAGCAUAAUCUUUUCUUUUUUUUAAUUUCUUCAUCAUUCUUUUGAAAAAAAAAAAUCAGGAUAUGCUGUUAAAAUUUUGAAAUAAAUUAUCUCAAAAUAAUUACUAACCAGAAAAAACAAAGGGGUUUAACUAGGUUAUGCAUACCUUUGAAAAUUAUAUGUUGAUCGAUAAGAAUGAUGAUCACGAUUGAGGAGUUUAAUUAAAAUAUAUAAGAUUUUAAAAUUAAUCAGGGUUAAAUUGUGAAUUUUAGAAAGAGAGGUUUUGUGAGAAUGCUGAAAGGGUGUUAAUAGUUCCACUCUUUUUAAAAGCAACCAUAGUCAUCAUUUUUCCCGAUUUCUUCUUCCCAUCUCCAUCUUAUUUAGAAAUUUCCCAGAGCCUUUGUUUCCCACCUUUCAUUGUUCUUCUUUCUAAUUUAAUACUAUAGGAUUACAAAAAUAAUUACUCACAUUUUAUCAAACACCUCCAUUCUACCAAGGCCUUGUUUUAGUAGUAGGCUUUUAUUAUCUCAAUAAAAUUGAAAAAACAAAUCUCAAUAAUAUUGGAAAAAAAAAACCUACCCAUAUUUGUAACUUUAAUUUAUUAUUCUCCAUAGACCUACUUUUUAGCUUUGAAUUUUGUUGGAGCCAUAUAUAAACAGAAUAUGUUGAAUCAGCACCAAAAAAAAAAAAAAAAAACUAAUUAUAUAAUUUCUGUUCCCAAGGACAUGACUGAUUGAUUUUCAAGAAGUUUUGUUUGGCUGGCUACUUAGGUUUAAAUCUUGGUGGAGAUUAGGGGUUAAGAAAUAAAUUUGGACUUUGCACACCCCUUUAACUUUUAAAAAGAAAUGAAAAAAACUAAUUAAUUAAUCUUUAUUUUAUUUAUUAAAUAUCAUAAUCCUAUGCGUAUUUUAUUUGUUAUCUUUCUAUUUAAAAGACAGGAGGGCAGAUAAAACUGAAAUAAAUUUUUAGCCCUAUCUCCAUCUUUCAAGUUCCAUAGUUAGGUGACCAGGUAAAGAAAAUUAAUUGAAAGCUACUCCAUCAAAUUAAAAAAUUUUAUUUAUUUAAUUUGUGGAGAUGUAGAAAAUCAAACCCCAUGCCUUUUCGCGUGGAAAAGUGUCAACCUGGUCUAGCUAUGUUGCAAAAGUGAACAUAUUUUAAUACAUGACUAUCAUCCUUUAUCCUAAAUACUACUAUAACUAAUAACAUACAAUUGAAAUAAUUAAUGUUAACACUUGGCUAUAAAUAAAGGUUUUGUGCUUGAAUCUUCACGCAUGACCUUCAUUCCUUUAUUUACUUUGCUAACACAGAUUUUGAGGCAUUAAAACUAAAUAAUAAUUGACUUUGUGGGCCGAGGAUGCCAGCAACAAGGAGACCACAAUUAUCACUUGUUAAGUUACUCUAAUUGCCGUUGUCUUAUAUUCAUAGAAUAUUAGUAAUAAGAUUAUUGUAGAAUUUUUUUAUAUUAAAAUUAAGUCAAUUUGUUAUAACAAAUUUAGUUGAGUUUAAUCGUGUUACCACAUAAAUUGAAUAAUAAUAAAAUUCUCGACAAAUAUUUCAAUAUUUUUAUCCCAAGCGUUGGAGUGGCAUUUAUUUGUUAUACGAUCAAUUUUAGAAUUUAUAAAAUUAUUCGUUACUGAAUUGCACCAUAUGCUGCAUGACCUGAAACUUAAUAAACGGAACGUAGCGUUGGCACCGUUACUCAACAUACUGUUACGACUUUGUGACAUUAGAAUUAAAAUCUUUUGCACAUUUAAUUUGUUUACUUCCAAAUUAAUAUUUAACAAAAUAUUUUUUCACAUUAUCAAUGGACAAAACUCCAACGAAAAUAACUACACAAGAAAAAUGUAUGCUAGUAUUGUGUGCCAUAUCAUCUGUAAUUUUGUCAGGAUCGAUCAUUCUAAUUUUUAAGCAGAACUUUUUAUCAAUGGACAAACACCUCACACAGCUUGUCAGAGGCAUUAUUAUGAUGGAAAACUGUAAUGGUAUAUCUUGAAUUAUUGGUAGAAUAGUUCUUUGGAGCAAUAAAAACAGAUAAGACAGAUGAGAAAAUUGUCAAUACCCCACCGCAAAAGCAAAAGAAAAAAAGGAAAGGAGACAAAAGAGGAAGAAGAAAAAGAAAAAAGAACGAAGAAAAAAAUGGUGCCGCGCGGUAUAGGCAAGAAGAAAAAAUAAUAAUAAAAUAAUAAAAUAAUAGUGCACAACAGUCAUUUGAUUGCUAUAAAUAAAGGGGCAUUUCCCUCAUUUUAUUCAUCGAAUUCUUCAGUUCCUAAGCGAUUUAAGAGUCUAGUGAUUUGAGAGUUUGGGUAUAGUAUAGUUUUGAGUAGUGAGUUAAAAUAUUACAAUACUUAUAACUUAUUUUUACUAAUAAAAUAUUUUUCUUCUAUCUUCACCCGUGGACGUAGGGUCAAAGCCGAAUCACAUAAUUUUUAGUAUCCCUAUGUGAUUAUGUAUCUCAUUAUUUUUCAAUUUUACUUUAGUUACGUGUCUGCUACAUCCUUCAAUUUACUAACAAAAAUGGCCAAAAUUAUAUAAGUGACCCAAAUUUUUUUGCUAUUUCCAAGAAAUCUCCAAUCUGAAUGGGCCAGACCAGAGGGAGGCAAGUUAGAAAUACGUUUCCUUCAUAGACAAUAACAGCGAUGAGUCGAUGACAUCGAGCCACGUCGGUAUCAAUAUUGAAUUAAAGGUGCAAUUAUUCAGCCAAUGAGCCUUACACAUCAAGAUAAAAGUCAAGAAAAUGAAUAUUUAUCCUAAUUAAAACACUUUCUGGCUGCAUUUAGUUGUUUCCAUUUGAAGUUAAAAGCAACGUUUCUUUCGUUUUGUGGGCAACUCGACUCAGUUAGCUGGCUUCUAGUGCUAGUAAGUGAAAAUAGAAGGCUAAUGAUUUAUUUGUUAUCUUUUGAUAAAAUUAUUAAAGAUAUAAUAGAUUUUUCAUGAUACAAAUAAAAAAUCACAUCAACAUAGCUUCCAAAGUACAACAGCUAAUGUUUACCAAACACUUUGUUGUAGCUUUUAAGCUACAGCUGCCCAACUUUAAUUUCAAAUGCACCCUUAAUAGGUUGAUUGAAUUUGUGGGAUAUAGAUUCCACAUAUCGUAUGACCUAGUAACUAUACAAGUGGUUCGUGAUCAAGACACAACAUUUGCUUCCGGCCCGGUGACCCAGCAAUCGCUGCAUUGGUCGCCACCUAUGGUGCCAACGAUAUUGCAUGGUCCAAUUGUGGCCUUGAAUGGAAAAAGUUGAGCAAAUUAUUUGUGGACACGAUGAUAAGUAACGCAAGCCUUGAUGCUAGUUAUGGUCCAAGAAAACAAGAGAUAUGCAUAACAACAAAAAGGAAAAAAAAAAAAAAAAAAAAAAAGGCAUUUGCAAGCCCAUUGAUAUUGGUGAAUUGUCGAUUUCAACUUUGGCAUGUGUAAUCCAGAGCCUGCGCGCUGUGGUGUGGCGCUGGCACGCUUGCAUUGACGAGGGGACAAGUCUUGGGGCUGAGCUAACAUUUAAGCUCGCAGAACUCAUGGUGCUAAUGGGAACACCAAAUAUUUUUUGACAUAUUUUGGUGCUUUCAUGGUUUAAUUCAAGGUAUAGAAAGGAGUGUUGAGAAUGUCAAAUAAAACGGUAUUGAAUGGAAGUUGUUAAAGACACGAUCCGCACCGAACGACAACAGCACGGUUGCUAAAAAUCCUUCCGUAAUAGGCAUAUCUAAUUUUUGAAAAAGUGUAACCUCUACAUUUAUAAAUAUACUCAAUGUAUAAUGUUUUACUUAAGAAAUGAAAAACUUGUUUGUUCAAGGAGAAUAAAGAAAAAUUUUCUAUGAUUUUUCUAUGGUUUGAACAAAGAAGGUUUUAACGAGUAUUAUAGACCUCGAUUGAAUGUUCGAAUGUAUAAUAAAAGAGAAACUGUCACAUAAAUGACAAAGAUACUUGAAAAAAAAAAAAAAGGGCAGCAAUAGAGAAUUAGAUCCGACUGUACAAAUAACUAGUUAAUUCAUCGAUACAUCAUUUUCUUGCUAGAAAAUGACAAUUAUGACAGCAAGCCACGAUAGUGUCAAUAUUGAAAUUGAUUUGCAAUUAUUCAGCCUAUGAGCCUUACACGUCAAGAUAAAAGUCAAGAAAAUGAAAGUUAAUAUCAAUUAAAACACUUCCAUUUCUAUGUGAAGUUAAAAAACAACGUUUCUUUUGUUUUGUGGGGGAUUCAACUGAGCACGCGCCACUAGCUAGCUGGCUUCUAGUUCUAGCAUAUGAAAACAGAAUUCUAAAGAUUUCACUUUCACCUUUUUUCUUUUUUUGGGGUUUUGAAUCAAAGUCAAGGUCGCACUGAAUAAUAUGUAAAAUUUGAAAAAGAAGAAUUAAUAGAGAACAAAGUUUUGUUUUAAAUUCACAUGGUGUGCAUACAAUUCAACAAACACUUCCUAUAAUAAAUCUGGAGUUGUAUCCCACGUUGAACAAUAAAGGAAAGUCACCUAAAUAUACAUGUAGGAUAAGUUACUUUAUUUAGUAAGUUUGUAUUUUCUUCUUUCUUCUAGUUUACAUAUAAAUUUGAUUAGAUAACUUAACACAUAUUUUAAUACUUGAUCAGAAGCCCGACGUACAGGUGGAUCUAGAAACUUGAUUUCUAAGAGUAAUACUAUAAUAAAAAAAUAAUGAUUCAUAGAACCAAUAUCAAAAUUUGUUUACAAGAUUGCCCCCACUCAAAGGUAAUUUUCAUAGAAAUUAAUAGGAAAUUUAAUUGUUAGUGGGGUCAAAUUGCCCCCACACUCUGAAUGUAGAUCCACGCCCGACCCUGAGUCAAGUAUAUUUUGCCACAUAUACUCUGAAUGUCGGCAGGAAAAAUCUUCCACUUUAGUUAAAAAUUUUCACUUAAAAAAUAUUUAUGUUAAUAAAGUUCGUAAAGGAAAUGAGUUUAAUUAAUGAAUAUUAUAGGAGAAAUUAAAGGAAAUGAGUUUAAUUAAAGAAUAUUAUAGGAGAAAUUCUAUUGUUCGGCUUUUAAUAAAUUAAUUAAUAGGUUUAAAAGAUUAAUAUACAUCAAAAUAUUAUUAGUUGGUGGGGGUUCCACAUCGGACUAAUACGUGUCACCUUACUUGUGAGAUUAAGACAAUCGACUUAGACUAUUUAAAUAUGUUUGAAGCUUAGAUGGCACCGCUUCAAUUUGCAUUACUGAAUGUCAUUCUUUAUCCUAAUUACUACCGUAAUUGAUAACAUGCAAUUGAAGUAACUAAUAUUAGCACUUGGCUAUAAAUGAACUAAAGGCCGUGCAAUUGAAUCUUUACUUGAUCACUUCACUCCUUUAUUUUGCUAACACAGAUUUUGAGAUAUUAAAACGAAAUAAUAAUUGAAUCUGGCUUUGUGGGUCGAUGAUGCUAGCAAAAACGAGACCACAAUUAUCACUUGUUUAUUUGCUGUAUUUGACGUUGUUUCAUAUUGGUAGUAAUAGGGUCAGUUUUUAAUCUUUUUAUAUUAAAGUUAAGUCAAUUUGUUAUCAAAAAAAAAAAUUGGUUGAGUUUAAUUAUAUUGCUAUGUACAUUAAAUAAUUAUAAUAUUCUUGAGGGAAAAAGACACCUAGAACCUCAAGGUUUGGGGAAAUGGUCACAAAGACUCCUAAGUUUUAAAAAAGGAACACUAAGAUCUUUUUUUACCCAUAAUACCCUUUGACUAGAGUAAUUAAAAAAUUGACUUUAAAGGUUUUUAAAUAAUUCUAAUUUAAUAUAAAUCAUAUAAUCUAUCUAGUAAACUAAUAAUAUUAAAUUAUUUUUUAUAUUUAAAAUAAUGUUAAAUUUUAAAUUAUUAUAUUUAUAAAAUUAUAAAGAUUUUAAAUAAAUAUUUGGAUUGAAUAUAUUUUACAAUUAAAAGUCUUCCUAUUAAUAAUAUUAAAAUUUAAUUUUACAAAAUAUAUAUUCAAAAUAUUUUUAAUUUUAAUUUAUUUAUUUUAAUAUUAUGUUUCUACCUAUUAUUAAAAAUUACUUUAAUAUAAUAAAAUAGGUCUAAUAGAUUGAAAAAUAUGAAAAUAUUUUUAAAAUUUUAAAUUAUUUUGAAAUGUAUAUAUUAUUACAUUUAUUUCAAUGUCAUAUUUUCAUUUAUUAUAAAAUUUUGGGGUUAUUUUUUUGGGAAUUUAUAGAGUCAAAGAGCAUUAUAAUUUAAUCCAUGCACAAUAUCUAUAAUUAUAUCGGUUGUCGGCUGAUUUCGUGGAGGGGGCGGCAGUUCAAAAUUUUUACGUGCAUGUUGGAUGGACGUCUCUAUUAAAGGAGAGCCACCACUUGCAUGGUAAUUUUUUUAAAUAAAUAUAUACAUUUCAAAACAUUAUUUUCUUGUUGUAUAGUUAACAUGUCACCUUAGAUGUAUUUUAGAGCUUCUCCUAUUAAAGAUAAUCUCAUGCAGUGUUACAGAGUAUGGUAAUAUGGUAUAGAUGAGAGCAUCUGAUUAAAUGAAGCAGCUGGUAAUGCUUACGUGUGUGAGUUAGUUAUCCAGCUCAGCAGCAAAGCAAACGAAAUGAAUUGCAUGCAUAUUAGAUCCAACAAACUGGUAAACUCUAGAUUCUUCUUUCAUUUAGUAUAAAUACCAAGUUGUUAUCAUUUGCUAAAUAUAUAAUAAGAUGAUCAUUUUCAGAUCUUUCCUUUAUAAUUUUCUAUAACUUUCUCGUUAGUUUCUCUUGAACCAAACACUUUGUACGAACUCUUUCGUGCAGUGAUACUUCUCGUGAUCUAAUCAUUAGUAGAAUCUAUAAUUUCGCUACUGUAAUAAAAUCUGUCACUACCCUAUAUGAAUGUAGAUAUUUGACGCGAUUUGUAAUUGCUUCCGACAGGAAAACAGCAAUAGUUUUAUUGAAAUUUGUGGUAUAGAUUCCACGAAUCUUAUGACAGAAUACUGACCACUCCAACCCUAUCCGCAUUUACACGAUUAAUACACAAGCUUAGAUGUGACAAUGCAUUUGUCACUCAUUCAAAUUCAUCCUGAAACACUAUACACUAAAUAAUCGAAUAUGGCUUCGUGGGUCGAUGAUGCUAGCAGCAACGAGACUGCAAUUAUCACUUGUUUUGUUGCUGUACUUGUCGUGGUCUAUUUCGCAUGGAAUGUAAACAAAUCAAGUAAAGCAAAUGCUAAAUUGCCACCAGGACCUCGGGGCUUGCCAGUAGUCCGAUACCUCCCAUUUCUUGGAACUACUGACUUACACAAGACAUUCACGGAGUUAUCUGGAGUUUAUGGUCCGAUCUUCAAGAUUUGGCUUGGGAAUAAAUUGUGUGUAGUGGUGACCUCGCCUACCCUAGUUAAACAAGUGGUCCGUGAUCAAGAUAUAACAUUCUCAAACCGCGACCCACCGAUCGCUGGAACUGUGACCACCUACGGUGGCAAUGAUAUUGCACUUUCCAAUUACGGUCCCGAAUGGAAAAAGUUGCGAAAAUUAUUUGUGAGCAAGAUGAUGAGUAAUGAGACCCUUGAUGCUUGUUAUGCUCUAAGAAAACAAGAGGUUAAAAAUACUAUCAGGGAUUUGUAUAACAACAAUAAGGAUAAUAUUGGCAAUGGCAAUGGCAAGCCCAUUGACGUUGGUGAAUUGUCGAUUUCAACUUUGGUACGUGUUAUGCAGAACAUGCUGUGGGGUCAAGCAUUGGAAACAAGAGAGAAAGAGAUUACUAAUCUCGGGGCUAAUCUUGCAGAACUCAUGGUGCUACUGGGAACACCAAAUAUUUCGGAUAUUUUUCCAGUGCUUUCAUGGCUUGACAUGCAAGGUAUAGAGAGAAGAGCUAAGAAGAUUUCUCUAUGGUUUGAAAAUAUUAUCAAUUCUGGUGUUGAACAGUAUAGAAACAAGUUCUCUGUUGUUAAAGGUGAAGAAGCUGCAGCACGAAAAAAUAUUGAACGAUCAAGAAAUAAGGACUUCUUGCAGUUGCUGUUGGAGCUUCAGGAAAAUGAAGAUAGUGCUUCAUCUAUUAGCAUGAACCAACUAAAGGCCGUGCUCGUGGUAUGUUAAGCAACUAGACACAAAAAGUUGUAAAAGCACAGCGAUAUAUUUGCGCGAGGCCCCGAGUGAUGUUUUGCCUCGAGAACUCUCAAUUUUAUCUUACGGUAAAAAAUGUUUUUCAACUUUUUUUUUUAAUUAGAAUUUUAUUGCAAUUUAUUUAACAGGACAUAAUUGUGGCCGGAACCGACACCACAACUACGAUGGUGGAAUGGACAAUGGCAGAGUUGAUGCAACAUCCACAAGUAAUGAAGAAAGUUCAAGAAGAAUUCGCUCAAGCUGUGGGCAUGGACAGUUGUGUUGAAGAAUAUCACUUGCCUAAAUUAAAGUAUUUAGAUGCUGUGGUGAAAGAAACAUUUCGUUUGCAUCCUGCGUUGCCCUUAUUGGUACCUCGCACGGCAAGCAAGAAUAGCAACAUUGGUGGCUAUACCAUUCCCAACGACACUAAUCUUAUGUUGAAUGUUUGGGCUAUCCACAGGGACCCUCAACUUUGGGAUAAUCCCUUAGAAUUUCGACCUGAGAGGUUCUUGAAUGAUGGUAUCAUAAGCAAUUUCAAUUACUCGGGUAACAAUUUUCAGUACUUGCCAUUUGGUUCUGGUAGAAGGAUGUGCGCUGGGAUUGCUCUAGCUGAGAGGAUGUUGAUGCUUGUUCUGGCUUCGUUGUUGCACUUGUUUGAGUGGAAAUUGCCCUCGGGCACAAAGCUAGACUUAUCUGAAAAGUAUGGGAUUGUCAUGCGGAAAAAAGAGCCUCUAAUUGCUAUUCCAACACCAAGGCUACCAAAUUCAGAUCUCUACCAGUAAGAUCAAAAUGGUUUUGAUAAUAUUAUUUCCCAUUGUAUUGGAUUUGAAGUUCAAUCAUAAUAAAAUAUUUUAAUAAAAUGUCCUCGGUUGCUAAUUUUUCAAUAGUAUAAUCUGCACCUGUCUUUUAUAGCAAUUUGGUCUAAUUUAUUUUUGAAUUAAAAUCCAUAAAUAUUUAUAUUUUUUUAAUUAUAUUAGGAAUUAUGUGGGGUGUAUGGUCUGAUCUUCGAGCUAUGCCUUGAAAACAAAUUAUGCAUAGUCGUGCACACGCUUUCCCUAAUUAAGUUUGUGGUUCGUGCUCAAGGCACAGCAUUCACCCCCCGCGACCCAACAAUCGCUACAUUGUUCCCCACCUAAAGUGCCAACAUAUUGCAUAAGUAACGCAAAAUAUGGUCCCCAAUGGAAAACGUUGCGCAAAUUAUUUCUGGGCAAGAUGAUAAGUAACGCAAGCCUUGAUGCUUGUUAUGGUCUAAGAAAACAAGAGGUUAAAAAUACUAUCAGAGACAUAUAUAAAACAACAACAGAAAAAAUUGGCAUUAUCAUCGAUAAUGGUGAGUUGUGGAUUUCAACUUUGGUAUGUUUAAUUCAGAACCCGCAGUGGGGUGGCGCUAGCACGCCUGCGUUAGGAGACGAGGGGACCAAUCUUGGGGCCGAGCUAAAAUAUAGGCUUGUAGAGCUC
rnacentral:lncRNA from 1 species